rnacentral:lncRNA from 1 species
CCGUGCCUUUAUCUUCUAUUUUCUUCAUUUGUUUCCAGCAUAUAGCAAUUUACAGUUAUCUGCCAUCAGUAUGGGGAUUAGCAGCCCCCUGCUUAAUUCUUUUUUUUUUAUGAAAGAAACCAGAUCUUAAGCCAGCUCCCUUUGGCUUCUAAUUUGUACAGCCUUUCUUGCACCUCGAGGGAUUUGUCCUUAUUGUAAUAAAUAUAUUUCAUUAGCAUACUGUACUACUUUAGCAUGUGCUGCUUGUUAUUAUGCAAAGGCAUCCUCAACCGCAAGUGGUAGUUCAUUUUUGAUGCAGCACUUCAUUCCACAGUCUCCUCAGUAGUGCUUCAAAGUUUAAAACGCAAAAGGCACCAUUUUAAUUAGUUGAGUGUCUACCCACAAAAAAAAAAAGUUGAGUGUCACUCACUCAACGUAAACAGAGACAUGGCAAAUAAGAAGCGUAAACUGCAGUCGAUCCUUUGUAAUUGUGAGGAUUGUACAUAGAAAACUAUAGGAAAAUUUUGCUACAUCAAUUAACUAACUUAUUGUAGUCCUGAAUAGUCCAUAUGGGCAAUUAAACAUGUAUUGUUGUGAAUUUGUACUGCAGUACUUAAAAUUAUUUACUCCUGUUUUAUAUAUUGAUUCUUAAUCUCUGGUACUACCUCUCAAAAUAUCAAAUUGUGAAAGAACGUAUGCUAUAUUGCUAUUCUGCAAGCAUAAACCACAAAACGACUGCAACAAUCAAGGGCACUACUAAUGGUUCUACUUGCAACUGCAACAGGAGGGCACAUCAACCCGGCUGUGACUUUCGGGCUGUUCUUGGCCAGGAAGCUGUCCCUGACUAGGGCCAUCUUCUACAUAAUCAUGCAAUGCCUGGGUGCCAUCUGUGGAGCUGGAGUGGUGAAGGGCUUCCAGCAGGGACUUUACAUGGGCAAUGGCGGUGGUGCCAACGUCGUCGCCCCCGGCUACACCAAGGGAUCAGGGCUUGGUGCUGAGAUUGUUGGCACCUUCGUCCUGGUCUACACCGUGUUCUCAGCCACUGACGCCAAGAGGAACGCCAGGGACUCCCAUGUUCCUGUAAGUACUGCUGCUGCUUGAUUUCCCUAGUUUGUUCAAUUGUUGGAGUUCUUCAUCAAUUAAUUUAGCUUAUCACAUAUAUGUUAUUUAGUCGACAUUUGCAACUAAAAUCUUAUAUGACAGUGUUGUAAUUUGUGUUCUGAAUUUCUGAUGUUCAACUUAAUUAAUAGACCUCAUACAGUAUGCAUGUAACUAUUUAUUGUCUUUGACAUUAAGAAGCCGCAUGUAAUGAACUUAUGCACUCUAGGUCCUAUGAAUUGAAAAUAUAUGCAUUCUUUUCAUUACAUAUUUUCAUGUUUGUGCUAAUGCUUACCAUGAAUCCUUAUUUGGUGAAAACAGAUCCUUGCCCCACUACCAAUUGGGUUCGCGGUGUUCCUGGUCCACCUUGCCACCAUCCCCAUUACUGGCACUGGCAUCAACCCAGCUAGGAGUCUUGGCGCUGCCAUCAUCUACAACAGGGAGCACGCCUGGAGCCACCAUGUGAGUGGAACCCCCUCUUCAGUCCUCUUCUCACCCACUUUCCAUUUCCAGUGGUUUUGUUACCUACUCGCACUGAAAUGUCUCCAUCCAAAAUAUCAGACAUGCAACCACCGUCUUUCCAUUGUGCAACAAAUAUAGUGGCAUGUUCUGGAAAGUCUGUUCUAAUUCUAACUAGGUUCUGUAUUUAUUCUCACCUCACCUAUGUGAAAUAUUUUUUGUGACCAAACUACCGGUAAUCAUUCACUCACCAAACUACUAAAAUGAUGCAGACAGAGUGUGGCAUGCCAUUGACAGGCAUGACCUAUAACUAUAUUGCUCUGGCCUCUGAGGCUGUGUUAAUCUUAUCACAAAGGCUUGUCUCAAUCCAUGUAGUUGGCAUGUAUUAAUCUAGGCUGUGUUUGGGAUAUGAUAUCAUUCUGGUCCUUUGCUAACGUACAUUUAAUCGCCUAUCGAUGCCGAAGAGUUGGUAUAACCUUGUUCCUGUUCCUAUCAUUGUUUGCAGUGGAUCUUCUGGGUCGGCCCCUUCAUCGGCGCUGCCCUGGCUGCUAUCUACCACCAGGUGAUCAUCAGGGCCAUCCCGUUCAAGAGCAGGUCUUAAGCUGCGACGGCCCCGCACGCCGAGACAUGCCAGCCCGAAGAAAAGAACGAGCGUCUUCCUCUCUGAUGUCUUGUGUGCCCACGCCUAGUAUCUCUGUCGAUUCGUCGCCUCUCUUCACGACUGCUGCGCUGUUCUGUUAAUCUGAACCCAGAACCUGUGUAUUUCUGUACCGAGCUCUUGUUUGCUUUUCUAUCGUGGAGAUUUAAGUUAUGGCCAUUUGUUGCAAGAGUUCCCGUCCAGCUGCUCUCUGUGUGUUGGGAUCUUGGCAAGAAACGACAGAUAUCAUGUGAAAAUGCGAAUCGAUCAAGUGAAAUUCCACGAAAGACAUCGAAUUUGGAUUCUUCUUAGUUCUAAGAUACGCAUCCGGACCACCAGUUCUAAUAACAUCAUAACAUGACAGAAAGCGGCCUCCAGAACAGAAAUCUGAACAGUGCAUAGCGACAACACUCUUAAUUGGAGACAGAUGAUAAAGAGGCAAGCUAGACAUCGCGCAACCGUUGGUGGAUCGAAGACGGGAAAUUUUGCUCUAGGACAUUGCUCAAUGUUGAUUUUUGCUGGUAGACAUCACUCAAAUGUGUCUUUGCCAGUAGACAUCGAUCAGUUGUGACUAUUUGCCCACAGACACCAUAGCCAUUAAAAUAAUAUUUUUUAGAAACAGAGAAGACAUAGAAAUCUAAAAUGACUAUAUUGCCCCUAACCCCACCGCCACACGCCGCUGCAGCUUCCUCUAGUAGACAGCACGCAUCUCAUCGCAUGUUCGCAGGAUUAUGCCAAGUACAGUUUGCAAGACUCAAGCAAUGAUCUAUAAGCAACUAGCUUAGGAGCGUGGCAUGUCACUUAAAUCAAAAGAAAAAAGUCACUGCUAAUUACUCACUUUUGUUGUUCUUUUUAAUGGAUGUGCAAGUGCAAUGCAUUGGGUCUGAAACAUAGCCUUUAUCUGGCUACUAGCUUCAAAUAUGGUUUGAUGCAGCGUGGGCUGCAGGGGCAUUUUCGCCUAUUCACUUAUUUUCUCUCUCUUCAACUCUAUAAAAUUAUUAUUUUAACAAUCAUGGUGUCCAAGAGCAAAUAGAUACAUUUGAAUGAUGUCCAUGAGCAAAGAUAAAAUUGAAUGGUGUCCUCCAGCAAACACCAACAUUGAGGAGCGUCCUCCCAACAAAUUUACCCAUCGAAGAAGCUCCACUGCUCCGGUGCUGCAGCUUGAUGAAUCUGCAGUGGCGGUGGACCUGACCUGCUGCCGUGGUGGUGGCCUUCCCCCACCAGUCCAGCAGUGCCAUGAUUGGGGAGAGGACGAAGAUGAUGGACGACAGGUGUAAAAGACGAUGGUGGAUGGGGGACCCGGGGCCUAUCCUAACGCAUUGCUGGCCGCGUACUCUACGCCACGGCACAUGGGUUGUUCCUUGAUGGCGUUGCAUCGCAAGCCGCCAAGGUCCUUUCGAAUCAAGGGUGCAGAACUGCAAAUGCAAACAGCUGGUACAGGGUAUCGGCGCCUUUUACCACUACCACAUUUUCACCCUACCACUGGGUGGUAGACAUGAUAUGAUCCACCCCAGAUGAAGCCAUCAUGACGUAGGCACACCAGGCGUGCAUACGACCGUUUGGAAAGAGACUUUACAAGAAACAAUUCAUGCGACAAAUAAAAACUGUGUUUCUGGAGGCGCAUUGCAGAUGGCUACACCUGGGGAUGGCCAACAUUUGGACAGGUUAAUUUGAUUAACAACUUAACAUGAUUUCCAGAGUAAUUGAUAUGUUUAAUGGAUUGACCCGGUAUUACAACAGCAGAAGCAACACUUUGCAGGGUGCACUGCAGCUGAUUCAUAUGUAGCUGUUAAGUUUUUUUAUAACAAAGAAAAAAGAAAAGAAAAGGGUGGUUAACGGCUCACUUGCUUUCUCCUGUGCAAAAUAUGGACUUCUAGUUGAGUCCCCUUCUGUACAAUGGCCUUCAACCCCAUAAAAGAAAACAAAAAAGAAAAUGUUGUAGAUACGGGAGUAAGAGUAUACAGGUUCAGAGUCACUGUUUUGAGUCCUUCAGUAUCUGGACAGUCUAGUAUACAACAUCCCCCACCUGAUAGGGCAUGUCUCACCUGUCAUCAAGAAUGCAAUUCAACAAAUUUCAGUGUGCACAGAUUACAUGAAUAGAAUAUUGAAUGGUGAUGUGGAAGUAAUCUAGGCAUCAGAAUUCAUACAAUAACCAACGCUUACAGUUUGACAACCAAGGCAUACAGCCACAUUUUAAGAAACAAAGGACUUGUUCUCCAAACUAACUAUGCAAACUAUGCUGUGUGUAAAGUAGUUGAUAAUGUGAAGAAGUUAUAGCAUGUUAAUUUCUACUCUCAAGUCUACAUGAUAGAUUGUAAUUCUCUUCCUUCUCAAGUGAGACAUAACCAUUGAAUACCAGAAAAUUCUGACAAGGGACAUACCUUUUUUGAAGUAAUGGGAUUGACAUUGGAGAAUCUUUAUCCACUGCCAAUUGUCAGCAUCAGAUAUAAUUAAUGGACAUCUCUUCUAAUAUGAUACAAUUAAAGGUUUCCACAAACCAGCUUAGAACCACUAGCUACCACAUAUGCCUGACUGAAAGCUUAAGCAGCAAUUUUUGCUAGAGAAUCAAUGGCCAUGAUUGCGCCCAGGAGGACCAGAUCUCAAAUCCAGUGAAGGUUUUAGCUUCACAUAAUCCCCAAAGCUCUGCUGAGAGGAUCGCUCGGAAGGCAAUGGCCUAUCAUGCGAAUCCCACACAUUUGCAUGUAUCAUCUUUCCAAACUGAGAGCUCAGGAUGUCAGCUUCAGAGACUACCCUCUCCUGAAUACCUGCUGAAUGCUGUACUCGAACAAAACGUCCAUGUACUGGAUCAGCAGGCCGGCUAGGUAAGUGAUCAUCAAGACCUCUUGAUGUAACUGUGAAGCCCUCAUUUCUGUAAGCUGGUUGCCUCACAUGGUUUAAAGGAAUGGCUCCACUGCCACCAGUUAGAGGAGUGGAAGCACCCGAAGUAGUUCUGGGGCUAGAAAUUGGAGAAGGUGACAUUCUACCAUUUUGAUGUUGUGGAGAUCUUGAUCUCAGAAGAGGACUUCCACAUGGAGAUACAGGACAAGAUAUAUUACUUCGUAUAUGGAUAUCACUGCAUAGAGGCAAUAAUUAGAGGGAAGAUAUUUUCCAUGGAGAUAGACAAGAAACUUCACUGAAUUGUAUAUUUUUUUGCCAGGAGCAUUGGGUUGAGUUGAUUGAAAACUAAGUUACAGCAAACUAGUAUAGGCUACAGCAAAUAGGAAAAUGUAAUUAUUCUAUGUGACAGCUAUAUACAGGUGGGUACUUUGUUGUUUAAUCUCAAACAGAAUAACAUAAGUCACAGAUUGAAUGCAAAUUAGGAUAUAAUACGCUCCAGCAGAUACCUAGUUUUGUUUACUGCUCCGUGAAAAUUGCUUCAUAUGGACACAUAAAAAGCAUGAACUUAUGUACUCAACAGAUAAAUUCAACAAAAAUUGAAUGACUUACCUAUUUGCCAAAGAAAAUUUGGCAGCUCUUCUCUGGAAAAUCGACUGGCCUUCCAAACCAAGUGAGGACAUAUUUCUGGCAUGCCCAACCACCUGAAACAUCAUGAGAGGCAAAUAGAAUGUAAUGCAGUCACAUGAACAGCAAUAACAUAAAAUAAGCAGCUGCUUGUCCAUUGAUAUGGCAUUAUGGCUUUAAUAUUCCAUGUAGGUCAGUGUGCUAGCGCACCUUGUAGACAAACGCUAAUCUUUAACAGCCAUAGAGAAAAAUGAAAGGGGAAGGACGCUAAAACUAAUAAAUGCUUAUAUUUAUGAAAUUAUCUGUAGGCUGAAGAAGCAUGCCAGUUAAUUAGUUGAACAAUAAAAUUGUUUCAGAAACAGUAAACAGUUGGUACCUUCGAAUUUGUUUUGCAGGACAUAACCGUCAACUGUUCCAGUGGAUCAGAGGCAGCUGAUUUUUCAAGUGGUGGUGCAUUUCGUACAAAUGGAUGCUGCAAAAGAUCCACUGCCGUUGGACGGCUGGAUGGAUCACGUUGCAAGCACUGUCUUAUGAAGUCUUUCCCCUCUUCUGAGAGGUGAUCUGGUAUUGGUGGAAGCUCCUUACUGUUCCCUAUCUUAAACAUUGCGGCAAUCUAUGGAAAAAGUAAAAGGUGAAGAGCCAUGUUAGCAUCCAGAUUCAAGAGGUUACAACUGAUAAAAAGAUGAUUCUGAUUAUAAAUUGCAUCACCUUACAAAACAAAAGGUAACAUAGUAUCAAUAGUAUGAACUGCUCUGCCGAGCAACACUUCAAGAUUGUUUUUUCAGUGAUAAAAAAAAAUCAAAGUGAAACUAGCUCUCUCACCAUUCUUCAAUAAAUUCAGUAAGCAUUACAUGCACUUCCAAAGCUUACAUGCAGCAUAAGGACAUAGUUCUUGAAGAAUACAGUUUAUAAUAGUAUUUGGCUAGUCAUGAUAUAAGAACAGUAAAAGCAGUGAAAGGGUCUCUAGCCUAGUGGUUAGAGCACUUAGCAUCCAGCAAGCCCAGGUUCAACUCUCCGUGGGAGCGAAUUAAACGGGUUUGGAAUAAAAAAUUAUAAAAAAAAUAGGUUGGGGCUUCCCCUACUAACUUCAAAGAACUGUAAAAGCAUCAAGGCAGUAAAAUGAAACAAUUUGCCAUGCUGAAAAAACAGUUUAAAAUGUAGAAUUGAUUGAAGCUUAAACUAAAAAAGGCCAGAAUUGUUUGACUUAGAUGUCUUGGCUUACUAUAAGAACCGUCCAUGCACGCGAACAGAGAAAACCAGAAUCGGUUGGUUUUUUAGAAAAGUAGUGAAAAAAUGAAAAAAAAGAGGUUAAAGUAAAUGAACCCUCCAUUUGCUGGUGACUCCAAUAUGAAACUUUUAUACCUACUAGUUUUUAGAUCUGUUCUAUAAGAAUCCCAGCCUGAUUGCUAGUACCACUGUUGAACAGCUGAUUGGCAAUUAAUGCAGUGGCAAAAAAAGAUGCAUCAUGCAUCUUACAUGGCAAGUUAUCCUAGCAACAGAAAAUUUACAUUACAGAAACAGAAGCCAUAGCUUCAGGGUCCAACACUAACCCCUUCGUAUUGACUCCAUGGUGGUUUUGAGGUAGCCAUCUCUAGGACUGUGCAUCCUAAACUCCAUAUAUCAACUGCAAGGUUACAUCCACUAGAAUUUUUUAUAACCUGCAUAUUUGUCACAACAUAAGCAAUGAAGGCCAAGACUUUUAAACCCAACCAAAAUAAUUAAAGUAACGGAACAAACAAUGCACGAUUUGGAGCAAUACCUCAGGAGCCAUCCAAUAUGGGCUACCCUUAAAUGAAAAAGGGCAUUGCUGUCCAUUGAUCUAAGAAAUAAAACAGCAAAACACAUGUUUAGACAAGCUCACAGGUUAAAAUCAUGUAUACUAUAUAAGAAUCAUCUUUUGAGGUGAGAAAAACAUUCUCGAAAUUUAGAUGAAAUUUAAUACAAGCACUUAACCAAAUAAACAAUAAAGUUACAAUAAAAACCUCAGUUAAGUUGGAGCCAUAUCUAAAAGCCAGAAGACAAUGAAAUCUAAGCCAGAAGAUAUGCUAACAGGAACAGCAGGGGCCAAAAUAAAGUGGUCAAUUCUUAUCGAAGAAGUUGAGCCAGUGCAAGUAGUUAUUAGUAGAGGUCCAGGUGCAAAAGGAAGGUACUACAUUUCCUUCUGUGAAGAUAAAAUACUAUCAUUUGAAUUUUGAGUUGUUUUCUACACAUAGAGAGAGAAAAAGGAGCAGAAAACUUACAUGUUUUGCCAUUCCGAAGUCAGCAAGCUUCACACGACCAUUAGGGUCAACCAAUAUGUUUGCGCCUUUGAUGUCCCUGCAAAUUUAGGAUGAGAAUAAGUAGAAGCAAAGAUUAAAAAAAGUUGCAAAUCCCUAGCAGGCAUACAAUAAUUGACUAAAAAAGGGUAACUAUAUAAAUAAUGUUACCUGUGUACUGUAUUCUUUGCAUGUAAAUAUGCUAGGCCCAAAAGUAUUUGUUUAGUAUAACUUCGAAUUGCUUGCUCACCAAACUGCCCGUACUCUUGGAGAAGCUUAUGUAUAGAUCCACCAGAAACAUACUCAAGGUAUAUGUAAAGCUUAUCAUUAACCUGUUUUGAGUAUAAUACAGAGAUGCAUUUAGAAGAAUCACAAGACUCACGGAGAAAAGUAUAUACAUUUCUGCAGGUUCCAUGCUUUUUUUUCCUUUUCCUGCUAUUCACUACAGGAAGAGCGUAGUGAAGGGUAGGGAACAUGGUCUAUUAGCAGUAGAUUACAACUAAAGGCAGCAGCUUAUACCGUUUCAGAUCCAUAGUACCGCACAAUGUUUGGAUGCUGAAGUCGGCUCAGAAGUGAUAUUUCCUGUGAAAUGAAAUAAUAAUGUCAAAAGAGAAGGUACAACAUAAGGAGUCAUGAUAAACAAGUGGAGUUUUCAAUGUUGAGUGUGAACAUGUAGAAAACACCAUACCUGGCACAGCUGCUUUGCGCUUUCUUUUGAUUUAGGAUCAUCUGAGAAAAGGGUAACCUCCUUCAUAGCACACAUUUCACCUUUAUCACUGAAAUAAAUGACAAUAAACAAUUAAAAUGAAGAAACAAAUGAUGAUCCAGUACAACAAAACAUUCAUGCACAUAGUAAAGACAGAUGAUAACUAGAGUUAUUGUGAUCAGACAUAUAAUGCUGUCACAGGACCACUUCAUCAAUGAUAAAAGGAAUGAGGAUACCACCCAAGAAAAAAAAAUUAAAAUCCAGAGUAAUUCGUUACUGCUUAUAUAACAAUAUAUGUCAUAUUCUAGCGCAAACUUCUUGCAGCACAAAUAGAUAAUCUGGAUUUUUUUAAGGUAAAGCAUUUGCGCCAAUGACUCCUUCCAAAUAUACCAAUAUUAACCAUGACGUGUGAUUUCACCACAAACAUGUGAUAGAUUGCAAGAGAAAUUUUGAGUAGACAAUAAUGCUGAGUGCAGAUAGUAACUUGCUAAAACAUCAUCAUUUAUGUGAGAGGCUGGCAGCACUUGAAAUAAAUCCUCGAGAAAGAGAGAACAGAAAAUUGAACAUUCAAAACUCACAUAAAAUCUGACUUAGUGGCUACAAAAAACUGAAGAUUUGAUAAACAUAAGUCAAUUUGUAAAAAAUUAUAUUAUAACUUCAAUCAACAUACAAAUUGAAAUGAGUAUAAUCCAGUUCCAUGCAUGGAAAGAGCAAAAGGCAUACCUGUUAAAACCAACAUAUACAUGGCCAAAUGUCCCACGGCCAAUCAGUUUUCCCUUCUUCCACCGUGAUCCAGGACUGGGUGGAUUUUCUGUUCUACCAGGACUACGAGAUAUAGGACUAGUUGGGGUAGAGUUGUUUGGCAAAAAGGUGGAACUAUUAGAGAUGCUCAAUGGCGGAAGCGGCAAUCUGUGGGUUUGCUUCUUCUUCCCUUCAGCAUGUCGACUUGUUGGAGAUUCAGGAGCCACCCCACCAGCCCUUGGAUGCAAAGGAGAGACACUUCCACUAUGCACCCUAGAACUUGGACCAGGACUUGUCAUUCUUGGGCUCGGAAUUGGUGAACACUCUGGACUACCGCGGCUAGGCUGCCAAAAGAGCUGGGCUAGCAUAUCACCUCCCACUGAAUUAUGCCCAGAUGUCUGACCAGAACCUGGACUGGAGCACUGACCAGACCCAAGGAAAGUUACGUCUGCAUGAGGCUUCACUGCCCAAAAAGCUGAAGUUGGAAUCUGGUCGGGACAUAUAAUUCUUGGGCUUCGAGUAGGACUUGACAUCAAACUAUUGGGAGCACUCUCCAAGGUAAUUUGCCUUGGGCCUUGUAAAUUAGAUUGAUAGCUGUCAGCAACAGUACCUCUUGGAGAUGUUGACAGAAUUUGGUUACUGAGAAAGGUAUUGUUUGGCUUUGCAACAUCUUUGGUGCUCUUUCUGGUGAUAGCACUAGAAAGCUCUCUGUGCACAACACUUCACAAGCAGAGUAUUCAAAAUUCGUAAGCAUGAAUUCAAGUAAUUACAAAAAACAUAUUGAAAAGAAGAUGGACUUAUUCAUGGCACCUGAGAGCAUACCUUGAACUAUUUGUUGCAGUAAUUCUAGUGGCAUUUUCAGUUUCAUUUCCCACAGGGCUCUGAAGCCGAGAAUCUCCUGGAUCAUCACUAUCAAUAGAACAGUUGCUGGAGACAGAAGCAGUAGCCUCUUCAGCAACGGGUUCAGUAGCUUCAGGUCUUUUUUGAGGCCGAGGGAGUGGUAGCAGGUGUCCUUUGCCACGCUUUUCCAAAGUGGAUUUUGAGUCGGUAAUAUCAGAAAUAGUGCGUGUCACCCUAGCACGUGAUCCAGGAAGAGGAAGUGGUUGCGCAUGUGGUCUAUCUACUGCAAAGCUCUGACACCGAGAAACCUCUUUUGAAGGGGAUGUUGAGCGGGAUUGGGCAGUGGACCAGCAACCUUUGUCACCAGCUGUGUCUUUACCAUGUCUACGACUCCCUCGUGAUUUUCUGCUUCCCUUUUGCUCAUUUGAACUUAUGAGACGCUGAAAUGUGUCAAUGAGGUUUUCUUUGGCAGUCUUUUUCACUUCUUUGGAUGAAGAUUUUCCCCACCAUGUUGGCAUACUGAAUAUAGAAUGCGCUGUAGAGGAUUUAUUUAUAUACUCAUAGCGAGGUCAUGCAGAUUGAUCAGCUACCAUGCUAUGACAAUUAGCUAGAGAUGGCGAGGUUGAGAAUUAGGGUACUUCAACAAAGCCGUAGACCCACAAUGAACCUUCCACACAAUGGAACACUGAGGUGUUUAAAUUUCCUGUUUUUGCUUCGUCAAGUAAUACAAAAUUUCAGCUCAGCGCCGUCUCCACCUCAAAGUCUGAAACCACAUCCAUAAGACAGGCGAUAUAAUAACAAUAAUGCAGCACUGAAACAAAAUAUCAAGAAAACUUCUUAAGCCGACUGCAAUAGUUUUUUUUUUUGGUAAAGAUGGCAUCCCCAUUUCCAUUGAUCAGAUGGAAAUUCCAGAGUACAUACAAUGAUGCAACAGAAACAGAUAGAGACCCACACAAUUCAGUUUCAAAAUUUAUGAAUUCAAGUGGAUAAAUGGCAUCCUGACCGUACCUCCAUGAAAUCGGAAGGCACAGUCCAAAGGCGGACCCACCAGCUGAAUAGUGCUGUUGGGUCUGACCAUGGAUCCACCUAAUAGUGCAUCCCUUAAUUGCAUAAAUACGACUACUUAUACCGAUAAAAGCAUAGUGAGGCUAAUUUUGGUACUUCUAUAAUCUAUAUCUAUAGGUAAGUACGUAACCAUACUAGCAUAAAAGGCAUGAAUCAAGCCAAUCCAGGGUUUAUUGUAUACCCUGUAAGCAUCAACAAUUGUGACCACUCUCCUAGAUACCCCUAUUUUAGAUUAAAAGCAUCUAAAGAUUAUGUGCUGCACUGAAACAUGGUCAACACUAUAGAUUCUUCAAAGUAAAAGGCAUAUUGACUAGAAAAUGUGGGUCAGAUUUUGAUGCUGCAGUUCAGACUUGGACAACACACACACAAACACAUAUGGCAUAGCAUAAAUAAAAAUAAUUGAUAUUACUCAUGCAUAUAUCAUCCGAUAUAGAUUAGAAACAUCUGCAGAUUAAUAAAUGUAUUGAAAUAUAGUAGACGAACUACUAAAAAGUAAAGGAUCAUUUUGACUUAUCAUGAUGAUGUUUUGUAAUUGUUCGUGAAAGUAUGCACGGCUCCAACAAUAAGGCAAAUAAAUGAAGAGCGCCAGCUGCUCUAAAAGAGAAAUCUCAAGGCAAUAAGAACACCCUUUUUUUCCUUGGUACCAGUAAUUGAACCCCAUGUAGGAACAUAUAUAUAACAUAGUGAGCGAGUUGCUAAAUUUUCAUCAAUUGCUUAGAUGCAAAAGGGUAAAUAAUGGGGAAAAUUAAUUUCUAAGCUCAAGGUCAUCUUCUAGGACCAAAAAUUCACCGACAAUGCUAACAGGCAGAAGGACAUAGCAUCCAAUCAAACUAUGAUCAUAUGAAAAAACACUAGUCAUACAGAAUGCAGAUUUCUCUCAGAACUUUCACGCAAUAACCAUUCCAGUCAGUAUAUUAUUUAUUGCUGGCACUGGCAUAAAAUAUGCACAAUCCAUUCUGUACCAUUCAUAUUGGUGGCAUAAACUACCACGCUAACUCGCUCUAACGUAUAACAACAAUAAGUAUACUGAUAAACUCAGCUAACUUCUAUACAAAUUGGAACUUAUGCAAGAACAGACUAAACGUGGGGCGGAUGAGUCGACACUCCAGAUUUUUGUAAAAUAAACUGCACAUGAUCGUGCCCACGAAGAAUAGCAGCCUAAUCGAACUAUGGAUGGACUAGAAUAGCGCACCAGGUAGCAAGCAAAUCCUCCACUAGCUGAGUGUACAGGACGUAAGAUUCCGAUUUGAUUGCUCACAGUCGCAGCAGUCAAAACGGCCCCCGAAACAGCACGAAGUCGAAGAACAAUCUACCCAAGCAAAGCAACCAAGCAAGCCAGGGUCACGUACCAGCAAAAACGAAGAAACCAGUCCAGGCCCGGAUGGAUCUCCAGUCCACCCCAGUCAGGUAGCACUAGAGCGGGCAACAGAGGUGGAGGUGGUUGCCACCUCCCGCCCAAGCAGCGAAGCUGGCGGCGGAAGGAGACCUGGCCCGCCGCACCCGGUCGCCUGCAGGCACCGAGGCUCGCCGGCGCCGAGGCACGGCAAAUCGCGACGGAGAGAAAAAACACACCGACGGCGGACGAAUUCGGGGAGGAAUCGGGCAAGCAGGGCGGGCGCGCGAGCGGAGCGGAGGAGGAAUCUGGGGAGGGAUCGGGGGGAGGACCGCGCGAGAGGGGAAUGCAGGACGCGGGGGGCGGGGGAAAAAGGGGGGGAAGGGAAGGAAAGGAGACGACGACGGGAGAGGAGGAGCCGGGGGAGGAGGGAGGGGGGCAGUUUUUGUUCGCCCUGUCUGCUGCUGCCUGCUGCUGCUUGCGCGAUGCGCAGUGCGAGUGGGAUGGGGUGGGGGGGAGUGUGCUGCGUGCGCCGCGCCGCGCUGUGCUGGGACGGGACGGGGGGAGUGAGAGGGGGAGGGAGGCGAGGGGGGAUGGUUGGUGGUGGUGGCGGCGAGAAUCUCGUGCGGCUCGGGAUCCCUGUGGGCUGUCCCUGCCGUGGGUGGGGUCCGGCGUGCCUGCUCUUUGUGCCAACCGCCGAGGUUUAACUACGGUGUUGCUGUGCAUGUGCUGCGAGUGUUUAAGCUUGUGAGAAGGCUAUGAUUAGCGGCGGAUCAGACGCGAUGGCUUGCCGGGCCUGCCGGCGGCAAAAAAAAAGGGGGGGGGCUUUUUCGGUGUGUUUUUAGUAUAUAUUCCCAUGUGUUUUUAAGCAUAAUAUAUGUUCCUGAUGAUUAUGUACUUGUGUGCAAAACAUUGUUUUCGAAGUAACGAAAAUGUGAGUGGUACAGCAAAUGAGAAAUUUGAAUGUGCUCUUGUGAUUUGACGUUAACUGGCACGAAGGAAGCAAUUUAGCUUUAGGUUACUCUCAAUAAUAAUGUGUGCUGGUAGUUGCUACUAGAGUUGUAAGUAAAAUCAAUACCAAUAGUAGCUGCAUCAGAUAAUGCAUAUGAUCUGUAUUUCUUUCUCGUAUUGUCUCCGAGGUGAUUGUGCAUUUGUGCUGUCCCAUUUUAGAAGUUCCAUUAUUAAAUAAAAGGCAUAGAUCAAUACUAAUUGGAGUUUAUUCGGUGCAACGGUGCGGUGGAGACACAAGGCACAUUGCUUUGUUUUUCCUAUACUUUUCAGAAUCCCCCUCCCAGUAUGGAAGCACAGCUUCAAAGAUCCAACAAGCAGUGGCGAGGCAGUUCUCAAACCCCAUGGGCCAUGGGACACAUGUACACUGGUCCGUUUAGAAUUUUCAGCAAAUAGCUUAGCUGUGUUUUCUUUUUUGUUUGUUUAUUGCAAAACCUUCCAAGAAAUAUAUUAGCCUUGUGAAGUCACCACUAUACUCCACCGGUGUUUGCUUUUCUCACGAGGCCUUGUCCCUCCCACCUAUGUACACGUUUUUCUUGUAUGUCUCUAUAUUUCCUUCUUUUAAUAUACUCCCUCCGUCCCAAAUUGUAAGUCAUUCUAAGAAUCUUGGAGAGUCAAAGCAUCUCAAGUUUGAUCAAAAUUAUAGAGAAAAAUAUAAAAAUUUAUGACAUCAAAUAGAUAUACUAUGAAAAUAUAAUUGAUAAAGAAUCUAAUGAUAUUUAGUUGACAUCAUAAAUGUUAUUAUAUUAUCAUAUAAAUUUGGUCAACCCUGAGAUACUUUGACUCUCUAAGAUUCUUGAAAUGACUUACAAUUUGGAACGGAGGGAGUAACAUGUAGCUCUUCUAGUGCUUCGCUACAAAAACUAUCUUCAUGUAAGAGCCAAAGACUUUGCUUGAAAAAGGUAAUAAAAUUUAAGCACUCUUGGACAAUAUUGACAUAUUGUAGCCUCUGGCUUGUAUGGAAUCUUGUAGUAAAUCUAUGAAUUAGGGGUGGGGAUGGGGGCAUCUCGUAUUCUCGUGGAUGAUUUGGAAUCUUGGACAAUUUGGAAGGAAUUAGAGGUCAGGACUCCCUAUUUUAAUUCCACAGGCGUUUGACAAGAGAGUUUCUACCUGUGGAAGUUGGCAUCUGAUAUCUUGGAGGAGGGCAGAAUAUGGGCUUUUCCUGCUACGGCCUACGGCUUCCUGCUCGGGCAAGCGUUGCUGUAUAAUCUUUUUGUUUUGGUGCCCACCCGGUGCUGCGGGGAAUGGGAUGCUCUAGCUGUAAAACUCAUGAUUUUCACUAAACGAAACAUGUGUACAGGCACAUUCUUUGAAAAAAAAAUUGAGCAUGUAAGCUCAAUUGCUCGAUCAUAGCUCCUUUAGAACCGGGGGAGAGGGGACAUGCAAACUCCUGUGUCUUCUUUUAUUGUAAAGGAUGAGGAAACAAAAAUAUCAAUAAGCUAUGUACAUCAACAACUCAUAGAUUUAAAAGAACAUACUAGGUCUAAGUGAAAGCCAAGGCAUGUAGUAUGUGAGCCUGGCAGUAAUCAAAGGCAAACAUACAGCUUUUCAUAAAAGUCAAUUUCAACUCAACAGAAUGGAAGUCUGCAUACCCCAUCAGUUAGGACAUUGUGCACUUUGCUGGUUUUCCUUUCUCGUAUCUGGAUCUUAGCUCUUUGCCCUGCCAGUGGAUAUGGCAUAGGCAACAUUUAGCUGCCAAGUAAUUUCACAAAGUAUCACACUGGUGGAGAGCGGUCCGCAAAUUUGAGGGUACGCCGAUGCAGGCGAUCUGCUCCCUACUCUUGGGAGAUUUUGAAGGAACGCAAUGCACGAAUUUUUCAGCGAACUUAUUCCCUCUCACUGCGAAGAUCAAGGAAGAGGCGUUUGCCUGGUGCUUGGCUGGUGCAAAACGGCUUAGAGAUGUUGUCCCUUUAGGGUAGAGCUCGGGUUGAAUGUUUUUCCAUUUCCCUUUUCUUUUAAAGCUUGUAAAGUUUUGAUCCUCUUCUUUAUCAAUACAUGACGAGCAGUACAUUACUGUCGGCCGCUUCAAAAAAAAAACAUUUAUCUGCCAAGUUGUUGCUAAUGCUAUUGGCCUGAUGUAGGAAGAGGGGAAUGUGAGGAGGAAAAUGACAGCGAAAUUACCAUUAGCAAGACAUUAUUAGUUAGAUCCUUACCUUUAAGGCGUAGGGGUGGAAUUGAUCAAAACCACCUAAAAGAAUAAUCAGUUCCGCCUUUUUGAAAAGGAGGUCCGUUACUAUUGUGUGACAUGCAUACUCUUUUUAAGCCAUCUUCGUGUCCGCAAUGGAGAUGACCUCAUCUACUCCCUUCAUUCCAAAUUAUAAGUCAUUCUAACUUUUUUGGAAGGUCAAACUAUUUUAUGUUUAGCUAAAAUUAUAAAGUGUAUCACAAAAGUUUAUGACACCGAAUAGAUAUACUAUGAAAAUAUAUUUAAUAAAGAAACUAAUGGUAAUAUCAUAAAUGUUAAUAUUUUAUUGUAUAAAUUUGGUCAAACUUGAGAUACUUUGACUCUAAAAAAAUUAUAAUGACUUAUAAUUUGAAACGGAAGGUGUAAGUUGGCAAUACCAGUUGCAUUUAGGCCGAUUAAAACUACUCGUUGGUAAAGCAAAACGACCCAAAAAAAACAAAUGGUUGUUUGGCCUUACCUGUGUUAAAAUCAUCUGUGACGGAAUAGGCCUCAUGCCGUGUUGCGCUAGCAAGUUGCAGCAAAUAAAGUCGGCAUCUUGCACCGGCCAAUGCCCUCGUGUCCCCUGCGCUCGCAUUGCACGAGAGAACAAAGAGUUUUUGUAGCGGCAGUUCUCCUUCCCGCUCCGAUGGACCUCCUCGUAGAUAACCUUCAACUAGACGUGUCCGGAUCUUUAGUCCGGAUUAAAAUUCAUGUUACAUCGAAUAUUUGGAUGCUAAUUAGGAGGACUAAAUAUGAGCUAAUUAUAAAACUAAUUACACAGAUGGAAUCUAAUUCGCGAGAUGAAUCUAUUAAACCUAAUUAAUCCAUCAUUAGCACAUGUUUACUGUAGCAUCACAUUAUCAAAUUAUGAACUAAUUAGGCUUAAUAGAUUCAUCUCGCAAAUUAACCUCCAUCUGUGCAAUUGAUUUUAUAAUUAGUAUACGUUUAAUACUCCCAAUUAGUAUUUAAAACAAACUCCCUCUCUGAGAGCACACGGCAUGCAUGUUGACCAUUGCCGUAUCGAGUGGUUAUUACAUUCAGUCUCUGAAUGAAAUUUCUGCAACCCUGACAGAAACCAGACAGACGUUGUUUUGGUCGGCCAGCUGCACACCCUCACUGACAAGCAAGAUUGAUGCAUGCUGCAGUAGAUCGUACAGUUGCAGCAACCAUAACCAACCGUUGAACCAGAACAAAGAUGACUUGAUCGAAUGCAGCGCUAAGCAACCACAUCUGAACAACCCAACGGUCUGGACUUCGUUUUCUCAAAUCCUUCUGAUCCGGACGUGACCGUCGCUGUCGCGUGCCACACGAUCCAUAAUACUAAUGCGUAGUAUUUGAAUGGAAACAUCGUUGUCGUCACAAGAAGAGUGUAUGCAUAACGAACCCGCAGCUGCAGGCCGGAAUCAGAAAUUCAGAAUGAGCUUGUGGCACGGUCAGUCGGUCAGCGACAUCGGCGUCGUCGCCUUUAUGCGCCUGCAAUUCCCAGUAGCUCUUCACCUGCAUCUGCAGGCUGCGUGCGUGCCUAGGUCUUCACCGGAACGGACGGCGCCAACAAAUGCCAUCAAUUCGAGACACCGAUGUGUGCCACUCCCUCACGAGCGAGCGAGAAAAAACGCCAUCGAAUGAUCGGUACAUGCAGAACGGAGGUUCCUACGAUUUCUAUUGCUUUGUAGCAAUGGAAAGCAACACGAUGUCCGUGCCAUGCAUCGGCCACUGAUGAGACAUGAAGAUUGCAGCCCAUGAAAAUGAUGGUCCCAAACAAGCAAACAAAGUUCAGUACACGUUUACUUUACAUGUUUGUUGCUUGUUGGUAAAUUUGACAACUCUCUAGGAAUAGAUUGGGGAAAAAACAUGAAAAAGAUUCAAAAAAUAGUAGUAGUAGAACAGCUGGCCGGUCACCAACACGAACUGCCUCCAACAAAUAAUCUGCAGCACUCGAUCCUGAAUUAUUACUCUAUUUUUUUUACCCUCCCCUUUUCUUUCACCCCUUUGUAGUAGACGUAGUACAUGCCCAGAUCCAAAUCUAGCUAGAUCUUGCCAAUAUAAUUGCAAAAAUUUCCCCAUCUCCCUUAUCAGAAUGGUAAAUUCCGGAAGAGAAGUGACUUGAAUGCUCUCACCAAACCCAUUUAAUUUACUUACUGUCUUGUACGCUUAUCUACACAUUCAAUGUCCAGCGUCUCCUCGGCAGCACGGAUCUUGGCGCGCAGAUCCCCGGGAUCUUCUACGCGCAGGGCGCCGUGGCCGGCCUUGCUGCCGCGUCGGCGGCGCGGAGCUCGUCGAUGACCGGGGCCAGGUCGCGCGGGCGCACCUCCAUCCGGAGCCCGUGCUUCAUGAACAGCGUCAGCGACAUCUUCUGCUCGACGCGGUGGCCCGGCGCCACGGCCAGGCGGUGGCGGAGGAGCACGCUGCCGGCGAUGUUCUUCAUCUGCAGGUACGCCAGGUCCUUGCCGAGGCAGAUCCUCGGCCCGGCGUUGAACGCCACGAACCGGUACGAGUCGUGCGGCUCGAACCGGGUGCCGUCGGCGGACAGCCACCGCUCGGGGCGGAACUCGAGGCAGUCGUCCCCCCACACCGUCUUCAUGCGCCCCGCCGAGUAGAUGGAGUAAGUCACCGAAGACCCCGCCGGGACGAACGUGCCGUCCGGGAGGUAGUCGUCGGCGACGACGUGCUUGGAGUCCUCCGGGACGGACGGGUACAGGCGCAGGGUCUCCGAGAGCGCCGCCUUGAGGUAGACGAGGCGGUCGAGCUCCUCGAAGGUGAAGGGCGACGCCAGCCACAAUGACGGGUCGUGGGAGCCGCGGGACGCGGCGAGCGCGGAGCAGAGCUCGCGCACGACCUUGCGCUCCACGUCGGGGUGCGUGGACACGAGCCAGAAGAACCAGGAGAGCGCCACGGAGGAGGUGUCGCGGCCGGCGAGGAUGAAGUUGAGCGCCACGUGCUGCAGCGACUCGUCCGAGUAGGAGCCCUUGCGCAUGAACCGGGAGAGCAGGUCGUCGUGCGCCGCGGCCGCCGCCGUGUCGCACUUGCCGUUGCCGGCGAGCUCGAGCUUGCGCGCCCUGAUGACGGCGGCGAGGUACUCGUCCACGUGCGCGACGCUGCGGGCCAGCGUGGUCUCCAUGCCGAGGCCCAGCCACUUCUUGCACCGCCACAGGCACUCCGGGAAGAUGAACCGGUUGAGCGUCGCCUCCGUGGCGCGGUCGAAGGCCGAGGCGAAGGCGUUCUCCGGCAGGCCGGGGGCGAGCGUCUCGGGGUCCUUGCCGAACGCCAGGCCGCAGAUGUUGUCGAAGGUGAGGCGGAGGAGGAGGUCCUGGAGGUCGACGUGCGUCUUCUCGUUGGCCGCCUCGUCCAGGAUGGGCAGCAGCCUGAGGUGGAUGGAGCGCGACACCCACCGGGACAUGGCCGUCCGGAGCGUGCGCGUGGUGAACUCGAGCGCGGCGGUCUUCCGCUGCGCGACCCAGGUCUCGCCGUCGGAGUUGAAGAUACCGUCGCCGAGCAGGUCCCGGAAGACGGCGUGCCAGAAGGGACCCUUGGGGUAGUUGUCGAAGCGCGCCUUGAGGACGUGCUCCAGGUUGCGCGGGUCGCAGGUGACGGUGACCAGCCCGCCGCGGCGCGCCACGCCGGGCACCGCGAAGAUGCAGGUCUGGUACGUGCCGCCCGUGCGGCGCAGGUUGCCGACGAUCCACUCGUGCAUGUCCUCGGCGUGCUGCACCAGCCCCGGCAGGCUGCCGAGCACAGGCCACACCCGCGGCCCGCUGAGCCCACGCGACAGCCGCCAGAACCACGCCAUGUACGCGGCCACCACCGCCACCACCACCGCCCACGUCCCCACCUCCAUUGCCAGCCGGCGAUCGACCAGAGAUAGCUACUGUACACACACGUACGCUCACAGCACCAGCUAGAUCAACGGAUCCGAUCAGACCCGAUAGAGGAGAAGAUCAAGCUGGCUGGCUGGGCUGGCUAGCUAGUGUAAUGCGGUAAUAAGUGAGUCCACAUGGAGCGUAGCAAUGAAAUGCUGCAAGGGGAGGUGACGGGAUGGCAGAGCGCAGCAGGGAAGACGGAGGUUUUAUAGAACUGGUCGGAGCUUGCACAGUUGAGGAUGGAUGGCGAUUAAUUGCUGGUCCGUAUGUACGUCGGUCUUACCACUACCAGUAGUACACCACACUCCCGAGUCCCUAGCUGCAACUGCAAAGCUCUGCUACACAGCAACACCCAGCGUGUAAAAAAAUUGCCGUACCUGACAGUAGCAGCGUACACGUACGUGUGUACAGAUGUACUCGCCACAACGCGUGCGUACAUCACAUUUACACGCCACCCAUCAGGUCUUUGUGGUUACUGCGACGGGUGGUCGAUCAGCAGCUGAGCGAAAGCAAGAGUCCAAGGGAUCGGGCUUCACCGGCGGCGGCCUGAUGACCGGCCGGUGGAUGAUGGAGCGGAGGCUAGUUGGCGGCGGCCGAACGGGAAACGGCACGGGCGGUCGCCCAUAAAUUGCCGCCGGGGGCCGUUGGGUGGCCGCGCCGCGCCGGGUUACUCGCCAACAACUGGCCGGAGCGCGCGCCACGGGCCAAUCCGCCGCGACGUCGCGCCACCUACCCGUGCAAACGCCAUUGAAUGCUCGGCCGGGGAGGCAUUGAAGCCCGAGGGCACGCACAGCUAGCUGGAGCCGGCUUGGCUUUGUUGUCCAAGGGGAUCGGGCUAGGAUGCCUUUUCGCGGAGUGGACUCACUGUGGGAGACGCUUAAAUGGAUCGGAGACCGACCGGUCCGUAUGGAUCGAGCGAUGCAGAUGCAGUAAUGCACUAAUGCCACUGGUGCGGUGCACGACGGCUACGGCUUCGGCUGGCUGCCUGGCUUCUCGUGCGGGGAGGGACGGUGAGGUAGCAGGAGCAUGUGGCGUGCCAUCGAGACGGGCUGGACGAGACCUGGGGCAUAAAUAGACGGCCGUGGAGCCGGUGCGUGACCGGGGUGCGCCUGCGGGAUGGCGAGAGGAGGACGAACGGGGAGGUGUUGGUUGUGGUUGGGUUCGCGGGUGGAGUUCGGAGAGGUUUGGUGUCGUCGGGCGAGCGGCCCUUACCCACAAGUCCACGACCACGGACGUCGACGUGAGCAGUGAGCUAGUAGCUCUGGAGAGAACUGCUGGCGCGCGCCGCGCGCGGUGUCUUUCGUCUUUCCUCAAUCCCCGUCCCCUGCUGGCUGCUGCUAGUCAGCGUGUUAUGAAUUAUGAUGCGCCGUGCUAGCAAGGAGCAAGGUCGAUCAACAGGCGUGGUUUAUGUCAACCGAUCACAUCAUCACCUAGUUCAAUUAGUUAUAGCGUGUUUGACUACCUCGAUGUUUAAUUUGUUGGACUCACUACCGGGGAAAGCUAGUUCCUAACCCCCUUUAGUAUCGGUUGUGCAACCGAUAUUGCUACUUCGGUACUAAAUAGAAAGAUUUUAGUACCGGAUCAAAUAACCAGUACUAAAGGGGUAUUAUAAAAUAAAAAAAUAAAAUCCCGCCGUCAAGCCCCGCCCCCCCCCCCCCCGCCGCCCCCACCCUUCCCGACCCCCGCGGCCCCCACCGCCGCUCCCGCCCUCCCGUGGCCCCGCUCCCGGCGGCCCCCGCCACCCCCCGCACUCCUGCCACCUCACCUCGCCCCGCACGUCGUCGCUUGCCGCCACCUCACCUCGCCCCGCCGCUACUCCUCACUGCCGGUGUGGGGCGAGCGGAGGGUGGAGGGAGGGGAGGCAGAGGAGGUGCCGAUGGCAGUAUUAAGAGGAAGGGGUGCAGAGAGAGAGAGAGGGAGAGAGAGAGAGAGAGAGAGAGAGAGAGAGAGAGAGAGAGGAAGAUGGGGGGAGGCGAGCGGAUGGAAAAGACGGUAGCGGGUAGCGGGGUGUGUGUGGAUAAGGCUGGUGGAAGCUCCUUCAGUACCGAGUGGGAGCUCCACCCGUUAGUACUAGGUGGAGGCUCCAACCGGUACUAAAGGUCACCCAUUAGUACCGGUUGGAGCUCCCAACCGAUACUAAAGGGGGUCACGGGAGACUCCUGGGGAACUAUUCGUAAAAAACCAACUGAUACUAAAGGUUAGGAUUAAUGUUCAGUUUUCAGUAAUGACUAAUGACCAACUAGACCUGGAAUCGGGAGGAGCGGCGAAACCUGAAUGUCAGAGCCUUGCUACAGGGCUGCUGGACGCCGAGCCAGAAACUCGCGAGUGGCUCGGCUCGUUUGUAGCUAGGCUCGGCUUGGUCAAUUUUUUUAUGAGCUGUGCAACUAUUUUUCUCAUUUUGUUAAUGAGCUGGCUCGAGCCAGCUCGCAAACCAAACAAGCUAGAAGGCUAAAUGUCCAACAUAGGGAGUUGAGCUAUCAAAGCUGAGCCGAGCCAUCGAAGCCCUGCCAAGCCAACCGAGAUGCUACAUGCAUGAUGAAUUUUAACGUUUAGAACUUUAUAAUUACUAUUUUUUAAUAUUUUAUAUAUAUGUUGUGAUGUCAGUCCUAAUUUUACAUCAGCUCGCGAGCCUAACGAGCUGGCUAGAGCUACUGACGAGCCGAGCCGAGCCAAGCCGAGCUAGAGUUUUUGCUCAUUUUCUUAACACCCGAAUUGGCUCGUUAGGCUAUCGAGCCAAACUGAGCCGAGUCCAGGUUACCUCCUCGGCGAUGAGAGUUGGAAUGAAUCCUGAACAUCAAUUUUACUUAAAAGUUACAAUUAAAUAAGUAAAAUAAUAUGAAAAAAGGUUGACAAUUUGGCAACGCUCUCUCUGUGCGUGGAGCGGAGCUCCUUUUCUUCCCUUAUGACCCUGUUUGGCACCACUCCUCUUCUAAACUCCAGCAACUCCAUCAAAAAAUUCAACCAAACACCCCAACUCCAAAACUCCAUGGAGUUGGCAACUCCAUGGAGCUAUAGUGCAAAUGGAGGUGGAGUUUUGGAGCACCUCUUUUGCUGCUCCAGAAACCUCUCUUUUAAACCUCCUCGUGGAGUUAGUGGGUAAUUACCCACCAAUGCCACUGGUUACACAAAAAAAUGUUUCAUUCUAUUCUCCCUUCUAUUCUCCCGAGCCCCACUCACCGCUAGAGCCCCGCCCGUCGCCGCCCCUGUGGCCCGCCGCCCAACCCCGCACUUAAUUGUCAAUCCACAUUGAAAUCGAUCUUUUUUGGAGCUGAGAGCACCCAUCUAGCCAAACACCCCAUUUUUGUUCUAGAGUUUUGGAGCGGAGCUGGCUCCAUGUGGAGUUCUGGAGUGGAGCAGCUCCACCCGGAGUUGGAGCCAUGCCAAACAGGGCCUAUAUCCUAACGGAGGCGUGGGUGUGGACGGGCGGCGCUCCUGCACGUUGUUCGUCCCUACCCGGGUAAGGGCGCUCGCCACGUUAGAAAAAAACGUUAUAGCCCAGCUAUGUCACGUUAAAGGAAGAAUGUUAGGCUGUGCAGAGUUUUGUUACACUGUUUCCAAAAGUGCCAUAUUAGCUUUAAAGAUUUAAGUUGAUGAAACAACAUCUCAUAAUGCACAAUUUCAUGUCACGGUUUCAUAGGUUACUUAUAAUAUUUAAUUGUUAUACGGUGUUGAGAUCAAAUAUGCCAUACGACACACUAACCAUGACCACAUAGAAUCUACAAAAGUUAUGAAGAUGAAAUAAAUUGCUCUCAAUGGGGGUUUCAUCAUAGUUUCAACGUCUAGGUAACCGUGUACACAUGGUUUCAUCCCUAUAAAACCCAACUCCUCUCUCCCUUCAUAAAUCUUAUGCCAUGUGUUGGGGGGGGGGAAUAUUAAUGAUCUCCCCAAGCCCCUGGAAACAACAAAACAUAAAGGCCCAGGCCCACCUAAGGUAACAAGACUAGCGCCGGCCCAACACGGGGGGCGAGAAUCACGCUCCACCUCGCCCGACCGCGUAUCCCGGGGUCAGGCAUCCCCGACCUCCGGAAGACCAAGCUCCGCCUCGCUCGACCGCAGGUCUGGGGUCGGGAGCGUCCGACACCCUGCCGCGGGUCUCCGCCUCGCCCGACCCCAAAUGUAGGGGGUCAGGCUGACCCGGGCCCGCCAGACAAGUAUCCGCCUCGGGCGCAGAUCUCAUGGGUCCCCCUAUCGAUCUCGCUAUAAAUGCGCUGCAGGUCUGUCAGGAAGAAGGAUGACCGCGCCCCUCACGCAACCUGCUGCAAGUACCCAUGCGCGGCCGCACUGUACAAGCUACAGUAUCUGCGGCCUCCUCCCAUUCACCACAAGGCACUCAUGGCCUGCGCCGCCCGGAGCAGAGGGAAGCCUCGCCCGUUCUCGUGUCCCGCGCGCCCGGCGGCAGGGAUGUGACGUCUGCCCUCCGCGAGCUGUCAGCAGGAUGGCAGAAUCCGCCGCCUCCCCCAACGGACACCUGAGUCAUGACGAAAUGCCAUCAUCACGACCUGGCGGCUACAGCCCCCGAGGAGGCCAUCGACAGGGCGCGGCGGCGGCCACCCUCCUCCGACAUACGCACCGGCAGAAGUCGAAGGCCGGCGAGGACGCCGGGAGCCUGGGAACUCGGUUCCUCCCUUCGUGUUGUAUUUUUACCUAGCUAUGUUUAUCUCUUUACGGCUCCCCACACUCGGUCUCGCCUGUAACCUCGGUGGUCUCCUUACGCUAUAAAAGGAGGAUCGGGGGCCCGAGACAAGGGGGCUCCACGCACAACUCAAGGCACCAUAGCGCUCCCAAGACAAGAGAACACAUACACACACCCUUCUAGAGCAUCAGUGUACACCCAAGAGACUUGGGACCGGAUCCCUCUCUCGCACUCCUGUAACCCCUACUACAGAACCCCGCGUGGGCAACACGAGUACCUCCCAAUACUGGACGUAGGGCGUUCCUUUGCCCGAACCAGUCUAAACCCUGUGUCUCCCACACCACCAUCUCAAGCCUUACGCGCAUAAAAGAAAUUUACUAGUCUAAGUCUUGACCCGCUAAUCUUUAUAACGACACCAUGCCAUUAUUUUUGCUAUGUGGUAUGUCAUUUCAAUGAGUUUGAAAUUCUCAUGAAACUUGCAUUGAGAAUGGUUUUAGACCAGUCUCAGUGAACAGUUUCAUUGCACAGUUACCAAGACUGAAAACUAGGUAACUGUGCUAGUUGAGUUUCAUUCCCAUGAAACUCAUCUCCCAUCUGAUGAAACUAUUAAUGACCUUGCCAAAUCAGCAAAAUUGCUAACGUGGUAUUGAAUUUAAUGCCAUGAAACUCUUUACGAAACCCCACUGGAACUGGCCUUGCAACUCACCCAUAUCAUAUUAGAUCCUAUUACAUCUACUGUGUUGUAAUGUGAUAGGAAAAAUGCGUCUUGUGUGAUUUUUUUAACUUUACUUGUGUCACAUUCACGUGAAAAAAAUAUAAGCAGGCAUUCCAAACAUAUGGAAAAUAAUAAAAAAUAUGCAUCACGUUUGGCCUCUCUCACUUUUCCCCAUCUUUCAAAGGUUAUCACGUUCAUCUACAAGUGCAGGGCACGACGGCUACGACUUCGGCUGGCUGCCUGGCUUCUCGUGCGGGAAGGGACGAUGAGGUAGCAGGACUACAAGAGCAUGUGGUGUGCGGCGUGCCAUCAAGACGGGGACAAGACUUGGGGCAUAAAUAGACCGCCGUGGAGCCGCGCCGGCGUGCCCCGGCUCCUGGCCCGGCCGGCGGGUGUGGGUUUUGACCAGGUUGCAUUUGUGGGAUGGUGAGAUGAAGACGAAAGGGGAGGCAUUGGUUGGGUUCCGGGUGGAGUUCGGAGAGGUUUGACGUAGUCAGCUCUACUUUAGGGAUAGAGAGUAAAAAAAUCUCAUUUCAGCAAGGUUUCUACUUGGGUCGCUACUCUAGGAGGCCUCUACUUUUCUCUCCUUAGGACCCGUUUGGUACGGCUUUAGCUCGUGAAAAAACAGCUCUGACUCUAGCUCAUCUGGAAAAGUAGCUUUUUCUGACUCUAGCUUAUUUUGUAGGAAAACGUUUGGCAAAACGACUUCUCCUAGCCUUUUAGAUUGGAAAGAAGGUAUCAAAUGCUCAAAAUACCCUUAUAUAUUUUUUUCUCUUUUCUUUUCCUCCUCAUUUUCCUUUUCUUUUUCUUUCCUUUUUUAUUUCUCUUUCCUUCUCCGAUCGGCCCCUUCUUUUCUUUUCCCCUCCUCUCUCCUUAUCCGAUCGGCCCCUCCCUCCUGGCCUUACCGCCGCCCCGGCCCUCCUCCUCCGCCCCUCCACCGCCACCCCGCCGGCCCCGGCUCCCUCCGCCGCCACGGCUCCGCCCCGACCCUCCUCCUCCACCCCUCCACUGCCAUCCCGUCAGCCCCGGCUCCCUCCGCCGCCACGGCGCCACCCCAGCCCUCCUCCUCCGCCCCUCUGCUGCCACCCCGCCGGCGGAUGAACUCAUCUGCCUACCGGUCCACCCCGGCGCCGUCUGCCGCUGGCAAGUCCACGAGGCGCGGCGUCGCCCUGCUCCUCAGCGCGGGGCUGCCGCGGGCGACCGCCGCCCAGUACAGCAGCCGCGCAGGUGACGGCGUCGCGGUCGCGGAGGUGGCGGCGGAUGCCGUCGUGGCCUCGCCGUCGUCGGUGAAGAGGCAGUACUGGCGCUGGGGACAAGGAUGGAAAGUGACGAGGAGGAGCUGGAAUAAGCCACUUGUUUUGGCUUCCGAUGGGUGGAGAAACACAUAGAUCGCAUUUUGCGGGACUUCUGCUGGCUUUCGCGGGUGAGCCGUUUUGCGUUCUCCCGUUUGGCACAGCUUCAUCAAAAGCUACCCUAGAAGCCGCUCGAUGAGCUGUGCCAAAGGGGCCCUUAGUCCUAUCUCCCACUGGCAAGUAGGGAGGCCCCUGCUCGGUCGUUGGCCGUUUCAACCCACCCGCGUCGAGGAGGAAGCUGCUCGCUGGACCUUGCCUCGCUCCUCUCUGCCGUCCUACGAACUAUCCGAUCCACCCUCACCCCUUCGCAUCGCCGCACGGACUCGUCGUGUCACCCUCGCUCCACUGCAUCACAUUGACCGGCCGCUUCAAUCCCGCACGGGGCGGCCGCGCGGGCCCGCCCUUCCGCGCCACCGCUCGAUUCUGGUCACGCAGGCCUUCCUCCUCCACCUCGUCGCUCAAUUCCAACUGCACAGACCUUGCUCCUCCGCCCCGCCGCUAAUUUGGGCUGCUCAAUUCCCGCCGCCGAUUCCGGCCGCGCAGCCCCCGCUCCUCCGUGCCGCCCCCUCCAUUCCUCCCCCGGUGCGGCCAGAUCCGGCUACUCCGUUGAUUCCUCACCUUCCAGACGAGCUCUGCAGCCCCACUACCGUGUGAGGAGGCAUGGGCGGUGAGCUGCCGGUGGUAGCGAGGGAGGGAGGGAGCUAGUGAAGAUGAGGUGGGAGAGAAGAGAGAAAGGUGCCUUGGAGUUGGAGCUGGACGGCAACGGCGGCACGCACCAGCGAGCUUGGGGAACGGGCCACCGGGUGGGGUGAUUGGUUUGCAUAUGUCUUAGGUUUGGGCCUGACUCCUGGCAAAAUUCCAGGAGGAAGCUCAACCAGUCACAAUCACAACCUCAUUGUACUGUGCAUGAGCGGCAGUAAUGGGUUCAUGUGCCAAUAAAGUAUUUCAAGCAAGCAAAUGGCAAAUAUGGGAUCUUUGCUUGAUCAAUAUAAUACCCUCCUUUGAGGUUUCAUAGGCAAAUAGUUGAAUUUUCGGUUGAGCCGGCUGGACUAGCUAGGGACGAAUCAUCCUUUCCUUUGAUAGCACGAGAGAUACUAGUCGCGAUCAAAUAGCAUCAGAAAAUAAAAUAGAUCAACUUAGGAGUAGCUAGGCGAUUUUUCAUUAAGAAGAAGAAAUAGUUAAAUUUGAGCUAAAGGAGACUCGAAUCUAGAUGGUUAGAGUGCACGAUCACACCUCCUAUUCUAAUCAAUUGAGCUAGACUCACUUCCUAAAUAGCACCAGAAAAGGGACACCGAAGGUCCUGGUAGAUAGCUUGGGCCUUGAUUUACUACUGAGAUCGAGAAGCAUGGGAGUAGCAGCUGUUGGGUGCGAUCGAUCGCCUUACAGUUUCUAGCUAGCUCUUGUAGCUCCUUGCUCGUUUUUAGUGUGCACUUUUUGCUCCUUCCUCCUUGCUCUGCAUGGCGUGCCGGCGUGUCGCUGUUGCUCCAACGGUGCCGCAUUGUUUGGUGACGAAGAGCAUGCAUGGAAGGAGAGUUGCCGGGGGGCUGAAUGAAUGACCAUGUUGUUGUGGCAGGGUGAUACUUUGUGAGAUCUCAUACUUUAUCAUCAGUGCAGAAGUGACUUCGUGUUGUGAUGAUGGUUUAUAUUUUUUUAGCAAUGAUGAUGGCUUGUUGGUCACUACCGUCUUAUAGGUUUGUCGUCUUCUUCUUCUUUGUACUCCUAUGCCAACAAGACUCUUGCCGGUUGCUUGAAAAAAGUUGCACGUGUCUUGCUCUUGGCCUCUUGGCCCGAAUUCGGACUUGGUCGAAAAUUGGCGCCUUUAAGACGUUGCUGGGCCGGUUUGUGGAUCGGAGCUAGAGAAAAUUCCAGUUUGUGGAUGGAUGGAUAAUUCCAUAUUGCCACAAUGGGCCCAGAUUAGGCCGUAAGGUCACCUCACAUCCUGAGACGUUGCGAAAUACUCUGCUUUCAUCUUGUCAAAGCUAUACAUGUACCGGGCCGGUGGGGCGAGACCCUUCUCCAGUUUCUUUCUGCACAUUCUUGGCUCUUCUACAACUCCCAUCUUUUUGCCAAAAAAGUUAAAGAUCAGUGUGAGCACAUUCUUAGAUAGUCCAAGAUAUGCAUGCCAUCCACACUCGCGGGGCCGGUUGCCAUUAUGCUUUCCCUCCCUCCGAAUCGAUUCCGCCGGAGUAGGAGUGAGGCAGAAGGAUUCCAAUUCCAAAACCACAGCUCCAUCCAAACCGCCCACACCGGCCCUCAGAACAACGCUUACAGCGCCAUGCGAUGAGCUAUCGAGCUCGCUCGCUGCCCCACGGGCCAUGGCCAGCGCACGUCGCGUGGUUUCGAAACCCGCCGGCUACUCCAGCGGCCACAGCCUGUCACGACCCGUGUAGAACGCUCCUCUCGCCACUCAAAGUAUCGGGCGAGCUCACUAUAUAGCGGCACUGAUGCAACGUUCGUGAGGAAUCGCUACGAGCAGCUAGCUACGACGGAAAGAACCGCACGCCCUCCCUCAACCUCAAGCACGAAAUCAAAAGUUCCAGUGGCCAAACCUUCUUGAUCGAUCGACCGAUCGGGUGUUGCGGAGAUGGCGGAGCCCAGGCGCACACGGCCGUCGACGUUCCGGUGCGCGGCGGCGACGCUGCUGGCGGUGGCGGUCGUCGUCGUCAUCGUCGUCCUCCUCUGGCUCUUCCUCCACCCGUCCAAGCUCGUCCUCUCCGUCGACCACGCCUCCACGACGGGCUUCAACUUCACGGCCGCCGGCGGGCUCGCGGGCGCGUUCGACCUCACCCUGCGCGCCUUCAACCCGAACGAGCGCGCGGGCGUGUCCUACCGCUGGCUCGACGUCGGGGUGUGGUACAACGGCACGUACCUCGCCGGCGCCCACGCGCCGGGGUUCACCCAGUCGCCGGAGGACGAGACGCGGGUCGACGUCGCCGCCCGGGCGGCGCCCGACGCUUGGACGCUGCCGCGGGACGUCCAGGAGGGCAUCAAGAGGGAGCGCACGGCCGGGAAGCUGACGGUGGACGUGCACGUCGUCGCCAAGGUGAGGUUCCGGUACGGCGUGGUGAGGACGCGCAAGUACACCGUGCGCGCCAGCUGCCCGGCGGUGGCCAUCGACUUCGCGUCGCCGACCUCGUUCCACCGGGUGCCCUGCUACGUGCACAUCUGAGCCGCGCGACCCUGCGUGAUACUCUAUGCUUCAAGGAUUGGCUAUGUGUGGAUUGACUGAUUUGAGAGUUGCCUUCUUUCGUAUUACGAUUACCUUGGUUUGUUGUACAUUUCUUUCUUCACUUUAUAUUCUUUGCUGUAAAUUGUUUUUUUCAUGGGGUUUGGUAAAGACCUGUUGACAAUUUAAUAUUAUCAAGUAAAUAUUAUUGAUAUUUUUCGCUUUUCAUAACGAAAAUAUUUAUUUUUCAGAGAUUUUUGCUGAGAAUUUAGUGCAGCUUAUUUUCGCAAUUUCGUGUUCAGUACACAGCAUUUCAUUUGGGCCCCAGGAAGUACUAGGAAACUCGGUCCGCCCUGGUCGACUUAUCUUCACUUGGCUCGUAACUUGGCCCAUCCCAAAGUUUGUUCAACAUACAGGCCCAAUCGAGAUUUGUUAUUCUACUUUUUUUUCUUGCUUUUUAAAAAAAGGAAAAAUGUACUCUCCUCCAAGUUUCAACACCAAACGUGAUAAUGGCAUUUGAUGACAGAACCUCUAAAAUAAACAAAGGACAAGUUGAAGAAAUUAGUGCAAUGGCGCAGCAGCACAGAUGAGAUCAGGUCGUAAACAUAAAUCUUGCCUAUCACAUGGCAUCAUGGCCCAAGUGCCUAACAUGUCGAAGAAGCUUGGGAUCCUGCCAAAAGAGAGAGUAGUUUCGUACAGAAUCAUCAACCACAACCAGUCGCCCUCAUGGGCAAAGCAUCUCCAACACGCACCUAAUGGCGCUUAAAAUACCCCAGCCAAAUCAUCUGCCCUCUGAUUUCCCAUCCUACAGCUGAGGUCUCACUCUUGUAGUCACAAUCCGACGGCAACCGAACCCUCAACGAAUCAGGCCUCGCUGUCAACAGCAGCGGGCCCGGUUGUACAGUCACACGCAGUGCAACCAACCAAGCAACAAGAUCCCCAUAUCCUCAGCUGCAAAGCUCCAAGAACCACCCCAAUCCUCUCCUUCCUUCCUUCCUUUGCUUCCCCUGCUUCUCCGGCCGGGCGGACAUGGCCAUGUCCAUGGCGAUGUCCAAGGCCAUCACCGCGCGCCAUGCGACCCAUUUGCAGCACCGCCUCGUGGCGUCGAGCUCCCAGGCAGCGCCACGGCUGCCACUUCUCCCGCGCAGGCCGAGCCUCGCGCUCACGGUGGCCUCGCCCCCGCGGCGACUCCUACCGGCGAGCCCCAGGUCCUCGUCGAGUGAGUCGGACCUAGCCCCCACUCCGCCGUCGGAACGCACCAUGACGGCGUGGGACCUAGCUAGCCUCUGGGUUGGGCUCGUCGUCGGCGUGCCGUCCUAUUACCUCGCCGGCAGCCUCGUUGACCUCGGCAUGUCCGCGCUCCAGGGCGUCGCCACUGUGGCAUUCGCCAACCUCAUCGUCCUCGUCACGCUCGUCCUCACAGCAGCGCCGGCGGUCACCCACGGCCUUCCGUUCCCGGUGCUCGCGCGCGCCGCCUUCGGCGUCCGCGGCGCGCACGUCCCGGCCGUCAUCCGCGCGCUCGUCGGCUGCGGGUGGUUCGGCAUCGAGUCAUGGAUCGGGGGACGCGCCAUCUUCCUGCUCCUUCCGUCCCGGCUCAAGUCGUACCAGCCGCUGCUCGCGCCGGUUCCCGGCCUCGGCGCGGCGCCGCUCGAGUUCGCGUGCUUCCUCGCGUUCUGGGCCGCGCAGCUCGGCGUCAUCAUGCGCGGCAUGGAGGGCAUCCGCAAGCUCGAGAAGUUCGCGGCGCCGGUGCUCUUCGUCCUCACCUCCGCGCUGCUGGCCUGGGCCUACACUUCCGCCGGUGGAUUCGGGCGCAUCCUGUCGCUGCCGCCUAGGCUGACAGGCGCCGAGUUCAGGAAGGUCUUCUUCCCGUCGCUCACCGCGAACAUCAGCUUCUGGGCGACGGUGGCCAUCAACAUCCCGGACUUCGCGCGGUACGCGCGGAGCCAGGCGGACCAGGUGCUCGGCCAGGCCGGGCUGCCAGUGUUCAUGGGAAUGUUCACCUUUGCCGGGCUCGCCAUCACCUCCGCCACCGAGGCCAUCUUCGGCCACGUUGUCUCCGACCCGAUCGAGCUCCUCGGGCGCAUCGGAGGGCCGGUGACGACGUUUCUUGCCAUCUUCGGCAUCGGCCUCGCGACCAUCACGACCAACAUUGCCGCCAACGUCGUCGCGCCGGCGAACGCGCUGGUCAGCAUGAGCCCCCGCAGGUUCACGUUCGCCAAGGGGGCGCUCGUCACCGCGCUGCUCGGCAUCGCGUUCCAGCCGUGGCGGCUGCUCAGCUCCAGCGAGAGCUUCGUCUACACAUGGCUGCUCGGCUACUCGGCGCUCAUGGGUCCCAUCGGAGGGGUCAUCCUCGCCGACCACUACAUCGUGCGGCGCACCGCUCUAGACGUCGACGCGCUGUACUCGGAGGACAGCGGCAGCCCUUACUACUUCCAGAAUGGCUUCAACGUCGCGGCGAUGGCGGCGAUGGCAGCCGGAGUUGCGCCUAUCGUGCCGGGAUUCCUGCAAAAAGUUGGGGUCCUGCCGAGUGUCUCGAAGGCAUUUGCCACGGCGUACAACAAUGCCUGGUUCGUCAGCUUUUUCGUCGCCGGUGCCGUCUACUGUCUGCUCUGCGGCCGGGGAGGGGUACAAGCGAAACAACACAGCAAUUGACACCAGGCUGAUGGCUGAACUUGUAAAAAUUGCAACAUACAGUUAAAAGUACGGAAUUGUUGUUAUGCUCAAAUUAGUCGUAGAGCUUUCAAACUUGCGUCAUUAACUACAUGUAAAAUUGGUGGCAGAUGCCCUUAUAAGCUGGCAAGACUAGCAUUUUACCUUUUUCAUUUUGAAGAGGAAGAAUAGCAUUCUACUAGCAUGGUAAGAGUAGCGAAUCAGGCAUCAUUUUUGUUUGAAAAUUGCAAUUCCCACUCCUGGGGACACCGCAAAGGCAAAUUUACUUGAAAACAACGGUUAGCCCAAAUGCAGCAUCUUAUCCUAGCUACGCUAUGCAAAGGUCCACCAUAGGUUAGUAUUCAGAAGCUCUAGCUGUGCAAAAGUCCACCCUUAAUUGUUUUAAGAUUUCUCAUUUUCCAUGCCCCGAUGUUGAUGUAUGAAUCAUUGAUCACAAAAAUGAGAAAUUAUACAGGAAAAGUUUAUUGAUCAAUUAUGUUUAGAUUAGUUGACACUUAUGCUAGAUGCUUGUAGCAACCUACAAGUGAACAUAAUCAUCACGAUAUAAUACUUGCCAAACAGCUUGAAUCUCAGUCGGACAGCUAUGAUGAAUCAACCUAACCUUGAAACACUAAAAAGGAUCAAGGGCUCAAGGCCGAAGCAGAGAUGUGGAUUGCAGCAAGAGCAUCUAGGUUGUCUCUUAGUCAUAGUGAUAGCUAGCUGGCUUGGCCACUUUGAUCAGGCAGUUGUUUGAUUGAUGUAAAAUUAAGCUAGAGGUUUCAUGUACAGUGUGUUCACAAGGCGACGCAUGUUUUUUUUUUGAGGAAGUCAGGCUAUAUUUUUUCAUAUAUAAAAGCUAAAGGCGACGCACGUUGUGUAAUUAAACUUUUACCAUUUCUUUCUUAAUACAAACAUGUGUAGCUCUUUUACGUAUUUGAGGGAAAAAAUAACAGUAGACACAUCAUCUUUUUCUUAUAAGUAAUCUACCCUAAAUCGCUUCCUCCUCACGUGUAUCCAUAUUUGAGCAAGAAUAACAACCAUGAGGAAACCGUUGAGGGUAGCUACUCGGAUUUUGGUAAGAGGAGCAACCAUGUGGAGAGUGCAUGCCAGAUGUUUGGUGAAAUGUCCGCGAACAUAUUAAGGAUUAAAGGUCACCUAGACGCAUCUUGGAGGUCAACAUUAGCUAGUUUUUUGACCCCAUUAUUGCGAGGGUGUUUCAUAGUUUUUGAUCCGGCCACAGAGGUGGAAUUUGUGAAAGUGUUUGGGCCUGGCCAACAACCUCGCCCUAUACUACUAACGAUGUGUAACACCCCAAAUCUCCAACUUUGCAAUUUGUUAAAAUUUGCUAGAAACCAAUUUUUUUUACUUGUUUAAGGCAUAUAAGGUCAAGUUUUGCAUUUUCUAGGCAUUUAAGCAUUUUUCUAAUUAAAUAAUGAAAUAUAGGAUUUUAUUUGUGCAUCCAUGCCGUUGCAUCGUUUUCAUCAUGUUUGAUUGGUUUCGAGUUCGAGUUUCACUUUUGGGUGGCUUUUCUUCUUUCUUUCUGUAGAGUUUCAGUUUCAGUUAAGCCUUUGCCUGUGUUCAGUUUCAGUUUUUUUUUUUCUGUCAGCAAGUCUUUAGUCCUGAAUUCUGGAGUUCAGUCGUCAGUUCCUAUCAAGUUUCUUCGGUCCUAUUUGCUGUUGGCAGUGGUAACAGGCGCCAGCUCCUUUCAGUCCUGCGCUGGCUCCAGUUUUCCUGUCCAGUUUAGGGGAGUGCGCUCCACGAAAAAUUGCUCAAAAAUUUCGCAACCAAACGCGUCUAGCUCUAGCACCUUCGGCUCCAGAAAAAAGGUGGGGGGGGGAGGGGGUAGAGCCACGUUUUUUUGGAGUACCUCAAGAGGUGCUCCAAAAACCCCCCUUUACAGACCUCCUCGUGGAGUUGGUGGGUAUUUACCCAUCAUUGCCACUCGUUACAUAACUUACCGGUUUGCGAAACAAAAAGAAUCCUCCCGUCGCCCCCUCCUACCCUGCCCGCUGCGCCGCCCCUGCCUUCCACCGCGGUCGGUCGUGCCCACCGCGCCGCCCACCCCUGCCUGCCGCGCCGCCCUUGCUCGCCGCAUCGCCCCCACCCGCUGCGCCCCGCGCCGCCCUUGCCUACCGCACCGCCCGCCCCCACCCACCGCGCCUCGCGUCGCCCGCCCCCGCCCGCCGCCCCGCCCCUGCCCGCCGCGCCGCCCCUGCUCGCUGCAUCGCCCCCACCCGCGCCGCCCCUGCCUACCGCGCCGCCUGCCCCCGCCCGCCGUCCCGCCCCUGCCCGCCACGCCGCCUGCCCUGCUCACCGCGCCGCCCCUGCCAGCAAAGGAGAAGAAAGGGAGAACUAAAGGAGACUGACAAGUGGGACCCAUUCACAUGGGUAUAAUGGACUUUACCCAGCAACAGCUUCUAUUUUCGGAGCUGAAUUUGUGCAUUUUGCCAAACAUGUAGACAACUCUGGUAUUUUUUUGGAGUUGGUAGAGUGGAGCUGCAAUGUGGUGGAGUUGAUGGAGUGGAGCUAAAAAAAUUGGAGUGGAACCCAGUUAGUUCAGCCUGAGAGCUUCGGUUUCAGUGGCGAUCUCCUGCCUGCAUUUCUGCUUUUCUGAAUGGGAGCAGCAGCUAACUGCAGCGUCAGUUUCUUCUUUUCCAGCCGUCGCAAUCUCCUGGCAGCUGCAACUUCUGGGCUUCGGCCCUUUUUUGGUUCCCUUCGCGCAGCUCUUUCUUUUCUCCUCCGCUCGGCCCAACGAGCAGCAGGCUGGCCCAGCUAGCGGCCAGGCCUCCCUCGCAUCUCCCGUUUCUUCUCCUGGCAGCCCAGCGCCUAUCCGCCAGCACGGCCCAAAGCCUCGCCUCCGCCCAGCUAGCAGGCAGCGGCCCAGUUUUCCUUCCGCACGCACCGGCCCAGCCAGCAGCUAGCAGCCAGGCCAGCUUAGCCCUGCUAGCGGGGGGUGUACCCGCCCCUCACCCACCCCUAACCGCAACAGCUAAGGAUAACCACCCGCCCCAACCCCACCUAAAAAAUAAAUUAAUCACCCCGCCCCACCCCGCCCCAUAAAAAUGGGUACCCAUGGCAGCUGCAUGCCAUUAAUUUAUUUUUCCAGAGCUACAGCUAAAAAAACAAGUGUCUUAAGCCAAGUGUCUUAAGCUACACUUAAAAAAACAAAACAAGUCUCUUGAUCUACAUAAUAGACACUUCAGAAGCCCUGUCUUCUAGCUGCUCGUCCUGGUUUCUUUAACUUCUUCCCAAUGGUCUCUUGAUAAUCAAAAUGGUAAACAGCUUGCCCGACCAAACUAAAAUGGGCCAUGCACUCAUUUACUCAUUUUUUUCUAUCAAUUCUCACUGUCUGUGUGUCAAGGAGAUGUAGGUUACUGAAACAUGUAGAAUGAGACCCCCCACCAAAUAUCACUCUGCAAAGCAAGCAGCAGCAUGCUCUGAUCUUGGAGAAGGGGGAGUGCCUCUGAAGAGCAACAUCAUAGUUUUAAAACAGUCAGAUAUUGAUCCUGCACAUCAAAGCAAAGCAAGUAUAAUACAAGUUUCAUCGCAUGUCCUAGACCAAGUGUAAUUACCAACUGCAAGCUAAAUAUGCAUCAUUCUCAUGUCACUUUCAAGUUUGGAUCUCCACAGUUAUAUAAGAAACCAGUUCAACAUUAACAGGAAGGAGGACCAUUCCUAUCCAGUAGGGACCCAGACCCAGAACAUAAAAAUACAAUCAUUUGUACCAAAAAAAAUUACUAAUGUCAAUUAGCCAACUGAACAAAUUUUCUUCAUAGAACUUACGUGGUCUCAAAUUCAUCCCAAGUCAUGGUCUCAAGAUCAAGAAUGUGCAGAUCAUUUAGAAGUGAUCUCCCAUGACCUUCCCCGCCAAACACAACCAAAGUGUCGCCAACAAGAGUCACUGAUUGACCACCACGUGAGCUCUAAAGUAAAUAGAAAAAUGUCAGCACAGAUUUGGAAAAUAAAUCAAGCAAAUUUCAGGUAAGGUAAAAUGUGUAAAUACUGUAGAAGCUUUUCUGAUGAUAAAAUACAAACAGAAUAAUCAUACCGGUGAGCUUCCAUAAGUACGCAGGGAAGACCAAGUGCAGGUUUGUGGAUCAAACUCUUUAACUGUCACAAAUACAUUGCAUAAGCAAUACUGAAAUAGGAACUUUUACACUGAGAAAUGAGUAGUUAGAAAAGAAACAUAUUAUCCUAACCACUGAGACUUUCUGUAGGUUCCCUGCUAUGUCCUGCAAGACAUAGGAUCUUAUUUCCCCAUGGAAUCUGGAAGAUAGCAAAGCCAGAUGCAAAUACACUAUACAGUUAUAAGCUAACCAAUAGGGAAAAAAUGGCCAAUUUCACUCAAUUCACGUGUAAAGAGAAUUUGGUGGUUACCAGUGAAUGACCAGCACAUGCAGCAAAUGAGACUGCUUCAGCUGAUUCUGAUUUAGCUUCCAGCAUUGACCAUGACAAACUUUUCAAAUCCAGAACCUAUGAUCAUACAAGGGUUCCAGUAUGAAGACCAAUGCCGUUGUAAGUAAGAUUGAUACCAAUGAGGUGAUGAUUCUAUAACAUCUCAAUUGAAGUUGUUUGAACCUUAAAUGCAACUACCAAAAAUACAACAUUUAAAAGUUGUUUGAAUCUAUAAUUAUGGGUACCUUUAAGAUUCAUUUGAGCUUCUUCGAACUCAAAGAGGCAUCAUUAUCUCAGGUGGCUGCAGAUACAAAGAGGCAUACUAGAGACAUCAGUACAUGUAUAUGCAGUAACAAGUUGCAAAGAUAUAACUGUCUUAGUAACAUACUAAUAUGCAGUAAAAAUUACCUUCAUUGGUGGGAUACUUGUACAGCCAAUCUUUGCAACAGACCAAAGCUUCAAGAGUUUCUGGUGUCAUUGAGCUUCGAUUGUCACUAAGAAUCCGACCACUCAAGCUGAAUGCUGAUUCAGAAGAAACGGUGCUGAGUGGAAUUGCUAAGAAAUCGCGUGCCAUCGCUGACAGCAUAGGGUACUUGUUGGAGUUUGUCUUCCACCAAGUCAGAAUUUCAAAAUUUUCAUCUGUUCUCACUGGUGGUUCAUCUAGAUAUGCAUCAAGUUCUGAUUUUUCAAUCCAAGUCCCUCUCCUCUGAUGCCUAUAUUCAGCAAAUUCUUGUUCUAGUCUUCUUUUUCCAAGAACUAGCACUGGAGAACGGUUCACCAUGCUCCUGGACGCACCAGUUUGUGAUACUACAUUUGUAUCAUUUUGUUUAAUAACCUCUUCAUACUUCCUGAAAUAUAGGCGAAGCCACUCUUUAGCCUGAUUUUUGCUCAAGUCAAUGUCAAUAAAGUUCAUGCACACCUUCUCAUAAAAGAAGUCUAAGAAGUCAACUUUUGUUCUUGGAUCAAGUAUGCUGCAAAUAACAAGGACCAUAUUGUAAUUUCCAUUCCAAUACUUAUCAAAUUUCCUCUCCAUUGCUUUUGCCAAAUCUGCGAUAACCUCAUCCUUGUACCAUUCUGGACUAUUUAGAGUUUGAUGGAUACAAAGCACAUUAUCCAGGAACAUGUGGGAAGUAGCGUAUCUAUCAGCUGAGAACGCCCUGGUAGUUUCUUCAAAAACUCCAAGAAACUCACCAAUAUAUUCAACUUUGCUAAACUCUUCUUCAGUUGGAAAUGGUUGCUGAUUUGCUUGGGCAUAUCGCUUCAAGACGAUCUUGUACUUUACUGCCUCCAUAAUCAUGGCAUGGGUUGAGUUCCAACGGUUGGGAACAUCAAGGACUAAACCAGCCUUUGCAGCAAGACAUUCCCUUUGAGCUAUCUCAUUGAAAUCCUGGAUAUGUGAUGGUGAUGAGUUAAUGUGCCUAAUCAGAUCUCUUAUCAACUCUAUCACAGCACUAACAAUGUUCAUACCAUCUUGGACAAGAAUGUUGAGUAUAUGAGCACAACAUCUAACAAGAAGAUGCUCACCACCAAAUAACAUGUCAGACUUUCCGCUUUCUUGCAAAAGAUCACAAGCUGCCUUGUUAUUUGCUGCAUUGUCGAGUGUGAUGGUAAACAUCUUCUCUUUGAUACCAUAAUCUGUCAGAACAGUUGUAAUGGCUUCCUCAAUAGCUACACCCGUAUGUGGAUACUUCAGAUCCUUAAAUGCAAUUAUCUUUUUCUUCAAAACAAAAUCAGGGCCAAUAUAGUGAGCUGUCACACAAAUAUAUCCCAACUUUUGGUUUGAUGUCCAAAGAUCAGAUGUGAAGCAAAUGCGAGAGUUAAGACUCUGAAGUUCACUUCGUAAUUCUAUCUUUGCUCUCUCAAACUUAGCAACACAUUCAUUACGAAUCAUUUGUCGCCCUAUGCAUCUAAAUGCAGGUUGCAAUGACUCCAUCCAAGGCUCAAACCCUUCAUCAUCAAACUUAUUGAAUGCUACAUCAGCUCUAACACACCAUGCAAUCAUCAAGUCACGACUUCUCUGUUGAUUAAAGGUGAAUGAACCAUCUACAGGCUUUUUCUUCAUUGUAGCGACAAAUUUGUUCCUAUCAUCACUAGGGAUUGUGGGGCAAUGCUCCGCAAUGUGAGUUCGAAGGCUGUUUGUACUUGAUUUUCUGUUUGCAGUCAACUUUGUUCCACAGUACUUGCAAAUUGCUUUGGGCAUGUGGGGCAGCUCCCUCAUCCGCACGCAGCAGCUCCUCUUGCUGCGCUGUGGGGCCCGUGUGUCAUCUCUCUCCUCCGCCAGCUCUCGCCCGCACCCGUUGCUCCAGCGCCGCUUCUCUGCUCGGACUCGAGUCCGAGUUUUUCUUCGCGCUGCGUCCGUCCUGGCCUCUGGACCCACACACCAGGGCUCGUACAAAAGGCUGCCGCCGCUAUCUUCUUUUCUCCCCAACCGCAACCGCUUCCGCAUCUACAGCUCCGCGCCGUCGCAAGCUCGCACUUGCGCCACCGCUCGUGCGUCGUCGAUCUGUGCCGCCAUAGCUUCUCCGUGGCCAACAACGCCCCCCGAAGCUACGCACAAGGUCCUCAAGGCCGCCCGUGGAGUUUCGCGCUCGCCUGUGUGCAUCUUUUCCACUCGCCCGAGCUUACCGGGGCGCCGUCGCCGCCGUGCGAUCUACGCCGCCUCCGCCGCAGGUUUCCGCGCCGGUGGCACCCUUAUCACGCCUGCAGUUUCCUCCUCUACCCCCUGGCCAAAUCCCUGGCCGAAUCUGCACCCGGAGGCUCGUUCCGAGCAAGUCCGUCGAACUACCCUUUUCCGCCGCCGCUCGCCAUCGCUGACGUCAGCACUCCUUCUGCAAGCCGUCGGAUCGCCAUCCGACGGUCCGCAUCGAGUCAGCUGAGUCAACAGCCACGCAUUGCGUUUUAGCCCCUGCGGUUUUCCCUUUUUGCACCCCAGCUUUCCGCAGUUCAAAACUAUUUAAACAUUGGGUCCCUAGAAGUUUGGUUUCUCGCAGUUAUGUCCCUGCAUCUUGUUUUCAACGCAGUUUUUGCAUUAUAGGUCCGUUUUUGACGUUCUUUAUGUCCGCGUGUUCGUUUUAAUGCGUAGAAUAAUUUUGUAAACUUGUUUUCUCUGUUUAUUAUGAUUGGUGUACUAUUUUAUUAUGUAUUGCAUUUGUUUGCUUGUAUGUCCUCGUGUGGUGUGUGUAGACGAUCAAUAGUUCGAGGGAUUUGAAGAUCAAGCUUUUGAGGAGUACGAACAGCAAGAGCAAGGUCAAGAAGGCAAGUUGUGUCCUUGAUCAUUUCUUUAAGUCCUAUUCAUCUUUACUUUCAUGUUCUAUAAAACAUUGCCAUGCACAGUAUAGUUUAAACUUGAUGGGUCCCAAUUAAGGAUGUCCUAGAUUUUAUUUACCUAUGCCUUGACCAACCGAGUUAAAUUUAUGUUGGGUAGCUCAUGCUUAGUGCUCAAAUAUGGUUAUGAUGGUUUAAUCUAAAUCAUUAUUAAUUUGGUAUUAUUUAUGUAUACCUUCCAUUAAUAUAAGACCAUUAUGUUUAAUCGGAACAUGGAGCGACCACCCAGAAAAAUAGUGCUACCAGAAGACUAAAUGGCUCUGGUCUUGGCUGAAUAAUUAGAAACCUUAGUCUGAGGUAAUCUUACUCGUGAUGAGGCAAGAGGGGGGACUGAGUCAUUGCAUUAGCGGCCUGUGAUAGGUUGUGCACAUCAGACACCAAAACCUUAGCGGGGUACCACUGACUAAUGAAUUUUUAUAAAGGCCUCGUAACGUCCCUAUGCAAUUACACCUCGGAAAUGUGGUAUGGUGCCUUGCAAACACCGCAUGGUUGGGUCCAAAGUUCUUUUAAACUUUUACGUAACUUGGGGUAAAGAUAUGUAACCUCUGCAGAGUGUAAAACUGAUCGAUCAACCGUGCUCACGGUUAAGAGCCGCCUGAACCCUCACAUGAUAAUACAAUCAAAAGAUGGGCUUAAAUUAUUGUUACUUUAUUCAUGGUUAUGUUAUCACUUUAUGUAUGUUCUUGUUUAAUUUUGGGUGGUAUAAACUUACAUCUAGUUAAUUGUUAAUAAAAUUUGACCAACUAAAUUAAAAGCUGAUGUUGUUUAAGCCUUAGCCAUACCUUGAUUUGCCUUACACUACACUGUUCCCCAUGACUUGUUAGUAUCAACCAUAAAUAUACUCACCUUUGCAAAACCGUUGUCUAGACCAAGCUAAUCUGGAGGAGUACUUGCACGACUUUGAGGAGUUCUAGGUGUACAGUUCUUCGGUCAGCUGCCUAUGGAGUUGUUGCUAUCUUUGGAGUUCUGCUGCGUAAUAAUUAGACUUUGUAGUUUAUUUGAGACUUUCGGUCAUGUAAUAAUAGUUAAUACUCCUUUUAUUUCGUUAUGGCAGUGUCUUUGAUAUUCACUUAUAUCGUGCAUGUGUGUAACUUGAUCCUGCCGCACAUGUAUUCAAUGCACUUGAUUUUAUCUUUAAAACCGGGUGUGACAUGACGAUGAGUUAUGAUGAUUUACGACCAAUCCCAUGUGUGUUUCAAUAUGAUUGAUAGAGACGUUAAAGGGCGCAAUGGCCUGGUCCAACUCGCCCAGGCCACCGUCCCACCUAUAACAAUGACCAUGGUUGUAGGCAGAGGGUAUGCGUGUAGUUUACAGCCUAGUCGCUGAAUUAAACACUAAACACAUGUACUGGUCAACUUGGUCAAAAAAUGGUGUAAACGGUAAAUUUAAACAGGAGUUACACCCUUACACGUGUUUACACACUUAAACACACGUUUAGAUAGUUGUGUAAGCAAUAAGAAACAUGUUUUGGUUGGAUAAUUUUGGGCACGAGUGGGAUAAUGUUGUGUUAUGUGCACAACUCAAAUUGUAUUUACUGAAAAAAUAUAGUUGACUAUAAUAUUUAUAUGCAUAUUUACCGCUACAGUGCAAACCGUGUAAAGCGUUUAAUUUAGCAUCUAAACUGUCUAAACACUAAAUGGAGGGUGUCCGACCGUCUAGCGUUUAGCAUCUAAGUAAAACACUAGUCAUAUGCAUAACUCUAAAUAUCAUGUGCGCUCAAAACUUUAGCAACCUCGAGUUUCAGUAAGACCUCAAUUGUAGGUUUCAUAGCUGGGCCAAGUGUAUAUGAUUAACCAUGUGUGUUAAAGGGUCCAAACCCAUAUUUAUCCUUCAACCUCUCUUUCAUUCUUAAUCAUUCAUUUGACUCGCAUGAAACAAUGAGAAAUAAAGGGAACAGAAAAUGCCACAAGUGGCACGACUAAACAAGAUGGAUCUUGCGCCCGCUAGACAUUGACUUCAGAGAUUGCCCGGUCACUCACUCAUUAAUAUCCACUUUCUCUCCCCUUCAUCUCCUUUAUGGUUUGUUUUCUCUUCGGUGCCAAUACAACAAUGGGGCUAUGCUAUUGAAGCGAUGAGCCACAACUUGUGGCAAGUAGCUCCAUUGCCGGAGGAGACAGCCACAUAUUAUCAAGCGCUAUGCUAGCUGGUGCUAAUGUCGAUGCACGGUGCCUCUAGAGCCAAGAUGGAUCUUUAGACAUCGUUGUGCAUCUCUUCAUUGAAUCUUGCAACAACAAACACUGGCACCGACUACCACAACAGCCACAAGUUUCGCUUCUGCCUACCACAACAACCACAAGUUUCGCUUCCACCAUCAAAUUUAUGAUGAGAUCGCUAUGCUUGUUACAUGCUUGAUUGGUGGAUGCCUAACCUAAGUUGAAAGCCCAUGUACAUCAAAUUGAGACAUUUAAUCAAAAUAUUUUUACAAACCAAUAGAAUUUUUAAGAUUAAUUCAAAAGUGUGCGCAAAUUAAUGUGAAGUUUUCAAGUUGAAAGUUUGUGUUAAUUGUGUGGUAAUAGAGUUGAAAGUUUGUACUAAUCUUAUUGAAAGUUUUGUAGUUUGAAUUUUUAUUAAUCAAAUUUUUAAGUAAUUCAUGGUUAUAUUUUUUUCCUAAAACCAAUGAAAAGACAUCAGCAGCUGAGUUUGCUUUUGAAUGUAUACAGUUGGCUAGUUGAUAUAUCUAGUAUUCUCUUCAUGGGGUUUUUGGUUGCCACAUGUUUUGCUUGUGUCAUGUUCUGCUGAAUGCUGAUCAUCGAUUUGAUAGCAUGUAUGCAUGUAGAUUAUAGUGAGCUUAAUUACUUGAUCUCGAACUAACAGCGAUGAUAAUUGUUUCUAGUUGUGUGCAGAUCGUUUCCCUCGCAAGUCCAGCUCCAUUGCACAUGUGCUCGGAUGGGACAUGAUGCUGCUCGGGCACACUGGCCCUUCAGAUUUGUUGGUUUCGCAGCAGCCAGCGGGAAGCAUGACAAUUCUUCAUCUGACGCUGUGGACGGAGCACUUCACCUUCGCAGAGCUGCACAUCAAGAUAGUGGACAACGACUGCACGUGCUGUGUGCGGAUCAGGCACUCAGGUCGCGACGGUGCUCCCUUCCAACUUUUUUCUCAUCCUGGACUUCGAUUGUUUUUGUAUUGAUAGUCCAUCCAGUUGAAUGCUGUUGAACUGUAAUUUAAUCUAUUGCCAAGAGAAUGUAAUUUUCCAACUUAAUUGAGCUACAAAACUUUGGUCCUGACAUGCAAUGCAACCAUUACAGCUGCAGACAUGAUAUAGCUGAAUACUAUGAACGAUACCUUAUCUAAGAAAUGUAUGCUUAUUUCUGCAUUCUCUUUCUCAAGUCUAGACUGAAGCUCCUAAAUAAUUCUGCAAUUCUUAUACCACUUUAGCAAUUUCAAAUAAUAUAACAUCCCACAUUGUUGACCUUUGUGCCCAUAGUCUAUACCAUCCAAUGGUCAGUUUCUAGCUGGGGUUGUUUGGCUGAUGUAAUUGAAAUAGCUAGUCUGUGAUCUAUCUAGUGCAUGCUUACUUAUAAAUAAGCCUAUCUUAUGGGAAGAAUUAACCCUUCUCCAGAUAAUGUUGGUGCUCAAAUUGUCUUAGUUUCAAAAUUAUUUGCCACCAAAUGUAUUUGGUCUUCUCGUAGCUGAUUGAAUGCUCUCCAUAUAGCUAGGCACUUCAAUAAUAACCAUCUCAAUGGAUCUUUUCCUCGUGAACUGUCGCUUUUGAGGAAUCUACAGUCCCUGUAAGUAUGCCUUAUGUCCCUUUGUUUUUCAUUAAGUAACCAUCUAUGUUAGGCAGAGCCAAUUUGGAGAAAGACUAACUAGUCAUAUGGCUGCUUAUGCAGGUGGAUGUUUGAUAAUUACAUCGAAGGGUCUAUUCCAGAAUUUAUUCAGAAUUUAACCAACCUCACAGACUUGUACGCAUAACCACUUGGCGUCUUGUUGUUAGGUACAACUCUUCCUUCUUUCCAUUUUUUUGAGAGCUAAUGUUGUGAUCCUGCCGAGAGAAUAUACGGGAUGAAACUUCAAGGACCUAUUCCAAUUUUUUUUUCUAAUUUGAUCAACCUAGAACACCUGUAAGUCACUCUCAUGGUUACUUGUAUUAAAAAAAAUCCUCCAUUUUUUUUAAAUUUCCAUUCGGUGGUAAAUAUUGGAGAAAAUAUUGUUAUCAUUCAGUAGAAGCCUUCAAUCUGAUUUUUUCAUAUCGAUAUGCAGCAUUUACUGCCAACUUUGAUUGGGAUUUGUUUACAGGAUGCUUGGUGAUCUUGAGGAAAGCAUUCUUCUUUUGAUUUCAUAGCAAAUUGGGCAAACCUUUCAACAUUGUAAUGUCAAGUGUCACCAUCUCCUAGUGAAUUAUAGUCUAGUCUAGUUAUUAAUGCAAUUACUUAAUUUUUGCUUUAUUUUUAUUGUGCAGAUCUCUGAGAAAAUGUGGGCUCACAACUCAGCUUCCUAAUAUUCUCCCAACCUUGCCCAAGUUAAAGUACCUGAGAGUUUUUAAAUAAAUUUUUUUAGUAAACUACUUUUGCUUACUUAUGCUAAAAUAGUAAUACUCCCUCCAUUCCAAAUUGUACGUCAUUUUAACUUUUCUAGGAGCAUAGUUUUUACUAUUCACCUAGAUAUAUACUAUGUAUAGAUGCAUACAAACACUUCUGAACUAGAAAAGCCAAAAUGACCUACAAUUUGGAACGGAGGGAGUAGAACUUAGUAUUGAUAUAAUCUUUUAACACAGCUGUUACUCAAUAGGAUGCAUUUUGGUGUUAUUGCAUUUGUGAAUUCUUUUGUGGUUUGUCAAUUUCAAAUGGAUAAUGGUAUCAACAAAUUUUAUGCAUACCCCUCUUCUAGCUUCUAUUAUGCCGGUGGAUAAGUUAGUUAGAAAAUAAGUUGGAUGAUCUUGAUUCUUCAACUUAAACAAUGAAAACUGCAAAGCCUUUGUUCCAAUGAAGUUGGGGUGGACUAAUCUUGUGCAACUUAAAAUUUAAAAUUCUUUUCUCAAAGAGGGGAAUACCUGGUGCUUGUAAGGAUUUGAUGUAUCAUACCAAGCUCCAGCAUUUUAUCAUUGUCUUAGCUUUGCUAUAAAUCCACUGGUUGAAGUUAUCCAAUAUUUUAAUAUGAGUAAAGUGCACUAACAGUCCUAAACUUGUUCAAGGAUGCCAACUAGUUUCCCAAACUGCUAAUAUACUAUUUUAUGUCUCUGAACUUGCUAAGUGUGUCACUCGAGAUCCAAAUUUUGCUAAAUAGUGUGUAACUACCCACGUGGCAUGCUAGCAAACCAAUGGCAACGACACAUCUCUCUCCUCAUCUCCCAUGAACCGAGCAAUACUUUCGAGAUGGCAAGUAGAAAGAUGAACAUUAAUUAGGGAGGUUUGGACCUUGAGUGAUACACUUAGUAAGUUGAGGAACCUAAAUUUGCAACUUAAUAGUUCACGGACCUAGGUUAAUGAAAUGAUCUUGAUGUCGCCUAGAGGGGGGUGAAUAGGCGUAACCUAAAAUUAUCACAGCUUAAAACAAGUUUAUCAGUGAUAUACGAAGAUUCUGGAGAAUAUUCUAGAGAUUCUGUAACUUGCAGAAUUUUCGAAGAAGUCUACGGAUUCUCCGAAGGUUACUUAAUGCAGCGGAAUAAAACUCUCUCUGCUAAAAACUGGAACCUUCGGUUUCCAAAAUCGGAACUUCCAGUUUUGGCUCGUCCAAAGAGAACCCCCACACUUAGAGUGAUGAACGAGCUUGAAAGGAUCUAGGAUGUCGACUAGAGGCUGAAAAUUUUUACACUUUCAAACAAGCUUAUCAGCAACUUCCAGAAAUUUCCGAAAAUUGUUCCAGAAAUUUCCGAAGGUUCGGAAAUUUCCGGAGAAAUCUUUGGAUAUUUUCGGACUUUGAAAGAAAACAACUACAACCUCAAGAUAAACUUGCUGAAAAGUAAAUCGGCGAAUAUAGGUUGUUCAACAGGUUAUUCUAAGCCUUUAAUACAAGAUAGUAUAGCUUCUAACUUGCUAGAAAAGGGAUCGAGCACAAACCCUAGAAAAAAUAUUCUAUGCUUGAAUAUGAAUGAAAUUAAGAAUAACAAGCACAAGAGACACAAGGAUUUGUUUUCCGGAGUUCAGCUUCACACCUUGAUGCCUACGUCUCCGUUGAGGACCAACGAAGGAUGGGCUUUUCACUCCUAAGCCACUUUCCUCCCUCUAGCGACCAUAAAGAUCGAGCUAGAGUCACUUACUCAAUCGUCGGGGCAAUACAAACUUCCUGAGGCAGCCACAAAGCUUGGAUGCUCAACCGGGCAACGCCUAGCCGGCUAGGAGCUUGAAGCUCCAAGACUAACAAACGCGGAAUGCCGGCUUGACGAAGAACAAAGGUACUCAAGAGAUAGAGUUUCAGCUCACUAGCACACUCCCUUGCUCUCUCAAGAAUCCCUCCUUAAAUCCCCCACCAAAUCUUCACCUAAGGCCAAGAGGGGAGUGAAUGCUUUCUGAGCUUUCAGGACAGUGAGGAGGCAAGAGAGAGUGAAUGGGAGGGGGUAUUUAUACCCCGUCACCCCGAAACUAGCCGUUAGGGGUUAAAUUUUCGAAAAUUUCUUUGGAAACUUCCGGAAGCUCCGGAAUUUUUCGGAAAACUUUCCAGAAAAAUCCGAACCUCCGAAAACUCUGUAAACUCUGAACCUCCGGAAUAUUUCGGAAAAACCUUCGGAAAAUUCCGGAACUCUCAGGUUAGCACCAAUAAGUAUCCCCAUAUGAUGUGCUGGUGCAAAGGGUGUCUCUCAUAAGUUUGUUAGGUCAUCUUGAGCACCUUUUUCAACAUAAAUAUCAGAGAUCAUGUAUCCCUCUUAAUAUUGCGGCAUUCCUGUACUAAAAUUCAAAUCGAAAUAAAUUUAGACUUGAGAAUAUGCCGUUUAUCAUUUCAUUUCCUUUAGAGGGGUCCAUCACAAGUGCUUCAUGACCAAUAAUCCUUUUAAACCUGCUUAUGCACUUGAAACUUUGUUAGACACUUGAGCUUGCAUCAUUAAAUCACCAAAAUCCACUUAAGGGGGCCAAGAGACUCUUCAGAGCUCGAGAUCAAACCAGACUUGGUGUAGUAGCUUAGUAGGUGUUUCUUAGCAGGCUCACAGAGUUCCUGCACUUUACAAACACAAACACCUGAGUAGAUCAACCAAAUCAACAAGUUCAACAAUAAAUGCAAGUGUAAGCAAACCAACGAGGAGAUACAAAGAUUUGUUUCACCGAAGUUUAGAUUCACCACUGUGAAUCCUACAUUUCUGUUGAGGAGCCCAUUGGAAUACGAGUCUAUCUCAACUCCCUUCCAAAGUGCCAAGUCUCUUUCAACCACUUUCCUCGUCUCUACUAGAUGACCUUUUUUCUUGCGGAGGCAAGAUCGUAACCUUCACAGAUUUUCCGCUGCUCACCACACCUUUGGGAGCUAGCCGGCGAUGCCUAGCCCUCUAGGAGGCUUCAACUCCAAGAGUAACAAAUCCUUCACUUGAAACUUGACAAGGCAAACCAGUGCUCAAGGAACUUAGUGCUCUUCUAAUGCUCACGAAUGGCUCCCCUCUACUACCCAACUCACAAGAUCUAGUAAAGAUCACACAACCUCACAAAGAGGGGUUGAGAAGAGCUAUCUUGGCUUUAGUUUAGCUUAGAAUAGGCAGGAAGCACACCGGCAACCUCUAAAAUAGCAGCCAGCCACUGAGGAGGGUGUGGGGGUAUAAAUACCCACUCCUAAAAAACUAGCCAUUAUGGUGUCAAACCAAAACUGGAACUACUGGUUUCCCAAAACCGGAACCUUCAGUUUUGAAACCAACUAGCCGUUAGUGAUACGUGACACCCAAAACCGGAACUUCUUGUUUCCAAAACAUGAACUUCCGAUUUUGCCACUGCCUGACUCGACAGAGUGUGUACGUGUGGCUUUUGUGUUUCUCAUCAACUCACAUAGGAAACUUGAGCACUGAGACUUUGUCAAAUAACCAUGUGAUGCAUCCCUCUUGGUAGUACAACAUACUUAUACUCAAGAUCAAACAUAAAUACAACAUACAUCCACUUGAGCUUCAUCAUCAUGAACCAUGCCAUACUUGAUCAAUAUAUCCACUUGAGAGCCGCAUCCAACUUUGUUUCUUUGGUUUGAGCUCUUCAACCUUGAGUUAGUGACUUGGAUCAAUAUUCAACACAUAUGAAUGAAAUCCAACUUUAGAUCACAAGUCACCCUUUUAUAUGACUCAAUAAACAUUUGAUGCAUCCCAUUGCUAUACUCGGUAAGGCUUGACUUGAUACCUCGAAAUCCUCCAAGCACUAGCCACACCCUAGCAAAGUUCAUGGCCCAAGUCACCACUUGACCAGACUUCUCUUGGUACCUCGUUGCUAAUCCCUUGCUCGAUUCCUUCAUCCAGUCGCUGCCACAUUUGAGUCUACCUUUGUUUUGACAUCAAGAAUGAAACCCACUUGAGAUCAUAUCUUCUUUUGACUUCAAUAUCCCAUUUGUUGCUAACAAGCUUCUUAUUUUAUUUAGAGACUGAAGAAUAACCUAAUGUCAUCAUGCCUCUAUGUUCACCUUUAUUUGCUUAUCAUAUAUCAUAUAUAAACAUCAUGGGAUCACGCAUAAUAUUCCUACUUGUGACAUUUAUCUUCAACACAAGCAAUCUUGAAAAUAUGAGGCUAUCAAAUUGGCCUCUAAUCAUUUUCUCCACCACUGCUUGUUUUCCAUGCUUAGAUGCACUACGUCAUAUGUCACACUUGUUCUUUUCACCAUAUAAGCUUAUCAAUACAAUUCUUUAUCAUAAAGGUUAUUCACCAAUAACUUUACAUCUACUCAUAUGCUUAAUAAGUUCAUUAGAACUUUAAAUCUAGUUGUCAUUCGACACACCAAAACCCACUAGGGGCCUAGAUGCUCUUUCAGUUAACACCCCCUCCUCAACACCACACAAAACUGUUGAAAACAGUCAAUAAUGUUAAACUUUUUUAUUCUGUUGAUAUUCAUUUUUGUCAUGAGUUUGAAAGAUGCUUAAUUGUCUUGUAUCUUCUGCAGGGAUUUGAGAUCAAACAGCUUAUCAAGCGCAAUAAGACUAUUGCUUCCAUAUAAGAACUCAGAGUAUAUGUAAGCUACGGUUUAAUCCCUGAGUUAUAUGCAUCUUCAGUAAGCAACUGAAUUAGACUUGAUAUUUUUUCGUAACUAAUAAACUUGGCGGUGAAUGCAGUAAUAUUAGAGACCAAAGGGUAAAAUGCAUUUAAUUCAACAGCCUUGACUUUUUUCAAGUUCUAAUGCAUAUUUCUGUUCAUCUCUUUAGCUUCAGGUCUGGUAUCCCCAUAUCAUGGGUAGGCAUUCAAACUAUUAUACCGCCUCCUCUCUAAUUAUGCUGGUUCCCCAAGAAGAAUUCCUGUGCAUUUGCCACCUCAAUUUCCUUCUAUACUAGAGAUACCAUGCGCUUGGAUUUGUUAGAGUUUUUGUUUGUCGCUUUUUCUGAUUACAGAAAGUUACUAUCACUAAUUGGAUGUGAAGUCUGAACCAUAGGCAUUCUUAGUUUUAGAUCCUUACAUAUGGAUUUUGCGUCUGUCAACCAUCUGUACUUCAAAAUUUUCAAUCAACCUUGUAAUUUCGAGAGCUUAAUUGAUGCAUGUAGUUUUUGGCCUAUCUUGAAAUCUAGAGGAGAUUUUGAGGUAUGGGUGUAGAGAUUUCAAAACCACAAAUUGUAGGCAGCGUUGUGCAACAAUAUCUAGCACCGAACUAAGAAUCAAGAAUGCAUGUCUAAGCCAUGCAAACUGCAUUCCACAAAUGAUCUGUUAACACCUAUAUGUCUAAGCCAUGCAAACUACAUUUCACCAAGAUAACUGAGUUCCAUGAUGUUUGUGUUUCCACUUUGCUCAUGAACUUCAUUCAUUCAGAUAUGUAGGUGAAAACAACUUUAGUGGACCUCUGCCUUCUGAAUUCGUUCGACCAUCAAUUCCAUUGUAAGUGUUUGUUGUUCAUUUAUGCUUUCCUAUAUGUCCGCGCUGGUAGAUGGAUGGCAAUAGACAGACUUAUCUUAAUUAGUACAAAAAGCCUUUGAGGAUUUGUACUUAAAAGUUAAAACAUUAGCACUGUCGUUCAUUACCAUGUAAAUCCACUUUUGCGCAGCAUAGGACUUACCAUUCUAUCAUGACACCAAAACUAAUUCUGGGCUGCAAACUUUAUUAGGAUGCCUCACAUUCACACUAACUCAUAAUUGACUAUAUCCAUGCUGUUGUAGUAUGAAAUAUAUUAACAUUUUACCUUUGGGAUAUUCUAUCACAGUUCACAGGCGAACGGGCCUCUACCUGAGUUUGUUAGAUGGUCUCAAUAGCACUCCUCAGGUCCUGGGUCCGAUUCAUCGUGGGAGCGAAUUUUAGGUUGGAGUUAAAAAAAAUCCCCUUGUGUGUCACCACUCACCUCACCAAAGCACAGGUCAAGUUUUUUCGACCUUACAUAGGGACCCUCCUACCUGGGGUAGUUGCAGUGGUCGCCAGCCCAGUGGUAGUCUCACAAUGGGUUACGGGUCCCUAUGUAAGGGUGAAGCAGAGGUUCGAGUUUUUCUUAACCUGCGUGAGAAGGUCCUUCUCUUAGCAAAAACCUGGGGGCUAUCUUACCCCCCGUAGGUCAAGUUUUUAAAUCACAGUUCACAAAGUUGUAUGAUGAAAAUUCUUUACUUAAAUCAGAUCAAACUUUGAAUUGAGCAUAGUUAUAAUAACUUUGAUAGAACAUUGAUGUAUAGUCAUAUAGCAAUUGUAGGAGCUUGCGAACAUGGAUCUGAAGCGGGAAAGGCAUUACGUUUCUACUCUUUGGGUUCCCUUAGGUGCAUAUUCUAUGCUUCUAAUUCUCAGGACCUGGCACCUUCCCACCAUCCUCUGCCCUUUUAAGUAAAACUUGAUUUACAUUUUUUUUUCUGAAUGAUCUUGUCUCUAGUCCAGACUGAUCUUGUGCAUGUCUAACUCUUCUCAAUUUUGGAAUAAACACUGCAGGGAUGUUUCAUAUAAUCCUUCUGUUAAUGGACGCCUUCCUAACAAGCCUGCUUGUCAAAAUUGGCUCAUAUAUAGAUUUCUUACCUUUUCUCAGUACAGUAAUCACUAUUUUAACUACUAAAUAAAUUGUAGCAACCUUAUUCUUUUGCAAACAUGCUGUUCUGUGUAAAUUACAUUGGGACUUCAAUUGAUACAAGUGGAACAAUUGACAGGUACUAACAUUUUAAAUAAUAAUCUUGCAUUCUUUGAUAUAUUUUGGUAAAUAAAAAUCCGUGUGUUAUUGUUUUGCAAAUUAGUAUACGCACUUUUGAAAUUUGGAUUACAUUCAUUAUUGUUUCCUUGCUUCUUCUUUUUUCACAUAUAUGUUUUUAAAGAGAACUUCUCUAACCCUGUUAAUCAACUUAUUAUCUUGUUUAAUAUCUUACCUGCUGUUCACUGUAGCCCUUCCUUUGCCCCCAAGAAAACUUACUAACAUGACUACAUGUCCCUUGUAACUUCUAUUCUCUUCAUGCAAUUGAGAGGAAAUAACUAGAUCUGUAUAAGAAUUGGCGGACUGUGACAAUCAAUGUUAUUGCAAAUUUCCUUAAAACACAAAUAUAAACAUGCCUACCUAUUAGAAAAAUGUCACAUGGCUUUUCUUUUUAUUCUGGAGAUCAACUUAUUAGUUACUGAAUUGAAUGAUCGAGUGUAUAAUAAUUGGAACAUGUAGAAAAUUAUCAAUGAGAAUAUGGUAGAAGAACUUCUAGACCUACGGUGUCCUUGCUACCCGUCGUAACUCGUAACAGUAUAAGCCAUGAGAUUGCCCUACUCAUAGGAAGUGUAGUUUUAUCACUGCAUUAUUUUGAAAUUUGAAGUAAUAUGCUGCAUAUUUCUCACUUUGCUUUAUUACCAUGCAGUGCAGAUCUAACAAACCUGAAUUGCCUUCACAUGAAAGAAUGCAACAGAAAUAAUUUAACUAGUAAGUUCUAUAAAAAUCUGUACUUUUGAUAUUUGAGCAUGCCAUUAUUGUUGUUAGACUGCUGGUGCUCAUUUCUUAACUGUAACACCACUUUCAAUACUCAAUAUUAUGGUGUAAAUUCUACGGAGAGUAAUUUUCUACAGAUCAUUACAAUCGCAAUCAAAUGAGGUCUACUUAAAAAUUCCACCAUAAAGGCCUCAAAUGUUCGGAAAUGCCAUCUCCAUAUAUGUUUCCAAUCGAUAGCAUGCAAAAGUGAUCUAUCUACCUUUGCCCUAUCUCUGUUCUGCAAGGGGCCUUUCACUCUGUUUCGCUGCUCUAAUGCCUGGUAACAGACUCACAGAGCACCAGCUUGUAUACUGAUUUAGUGAUGUCAACCAGUUACUGAUUCAAUUUCUACUUGCCCGUACCAAUACAGAACACUUAACUCAUGUCUCACUAAACGCUACUUUAUUUCUUCAGUAUUUUUCCGCUUUGCAUUGAUGCCAGCAUUGUAUUGUUAUCUGUCUGUCGUCUGUCAGUCAGUCACUCGCUCUUCUCACUCUUAGAUAUUGUUGUGUUCCAUUGUCUGUUUUCAAUAUUUCAAUUCUUGAUUUUACUGCUGCAUUAAUUGAGUUUCUUUGAAGGAUCAAUGCAUGCUACCAAAUAUUCAUUUUGAACCCUUGAUAUCGAUGUUUUGUUGCCUUGUUAAGAUUAAAUAUCUAUAAUGGCCAAUCUUUUUUUUGUUUUUAAUGGACUUCAUACAAUAUAUGCCUGAUUUUAGAAUUAUGGAAAAUAAAAGGAAAACAGGUGACAUGGUUGGGCACAUUGUUAAACUCUUGGUCAAAUAAUCCAAAUUACAAGUAAAAUUUGAUGUGGUUCUUAUUAUCGUUCAUAUAUAAGAUGAAAGAUACCGCAACAUAUAUUUGCAGCCAAAAAAUUAAUGAAAGAAGCUAAGGCCCAUAUGGAUCAUGCCUAGUGUAAAGCAUGCUGCACUUUUUGUGAUUAAGAAAUUGAUUGCCACAAUUGUGUCAAACUUAAGGCAAAAAAGAAAAAAAAAUACACUGGCAUUUGGGACAUGCAUCUAAGCGAGUGUAAAUUUGUUCAUUGCAAUGUUGAUUUAUGGGGUUAUGAGAGAUGCCUCUGAAGUUGUACUUAAACUUUGUUCGUCAAUUCUGAUAUUGAUUUUUGGUGAUUAAUGCCCUACUUUGAAGCGCAAUUGUCUUUUUACCCUCAUUUUUUCUAACUUUAUGAUUUUGCCCUCAACUAUUCACAAGUCAUUGUGAUUUUGCUUUUGGUCUUUGCAUAUUUGCUCCUGUUUUGACCAUUGACUAGGGGCAAAAUCACAUUGACUUGUGAAUAGUCGAGGCCAAAAUCACAGUUACACUUCAAAACAGGGGCAAGAGUUGGUGGUAUCUAGCAUAUUUUCUGCAAACUUGUAGUCUUUACCUUAUUGAUCGAUUAUGCAUGCAGAUCCUGCAACUUCCUUCGCUAUAAAUUGUGGUGGCAAGCAAAUGCAUUAUUCAAAUCCGAUGCCAACUAUGUUCUCCGAAGACUCCGCUGAUCUUGGAGGAGCAGGCUUUCAUAUUAAUACCACGAGUCAUGUGGGUUCUGAUCCAUUUAAGAAAUCCAGCGGUAUUGUAAAUACAAGAGAUAUUUUGGAAACAAACAUGCCAGAGCUCUACAAAACAACAAGAACAUCAACAAGUUCGUUGCGGUACUAUGUGGUAGGUUUGGCUAAUGGGAAAUACACCGUCCAACUCUUCUUUGCAGAGAUAGUCAUAACUGAUGGACCAGGAUGACGCUUAUUUGACAUUGAUAUGCAGGUUUGAUCCCUCUCUAACGAGAAAAAUGUUUUAACAUAUCCAGUCAACAAACCAUACCUUUGUAUGGUGAAUUAAUUUCAGGAUCAGAAUAUCAGGAAGGAUUUUGACAUUACUAAGGAAGCAGGGGUCCUAGAAAAGCCACUAACAUAACCCAGGAAGUGACUGUUGACAACUCCAUAUUGGUAAUACAUCUGUAUUGGAGUGGAAGGGGCACCUGCUGCAUUCCCUACGGAGGAGCUUAUGGGCCACUGGUGUCAACGAUAAAAGGUAGCUACUGAACAUGCCCCUGCCGGUCUGUUGACCUCUUGUCUUGUUCUGGCACAAAACCAUUAGCUGACUACGAAAUGCUUGAUUUUCUCAGUUACCCAGUCCCAUGACCGGAAGAUCAGUCCUCCACAAGCACCAAGUUCUGAUUCUGCACGACAGGAUGAGAAGAGGAGAGGAGUGAUUGUGGGCAUUGCAGCACUUUGUAUUGCUGCUGCUGUGAUAUCUUCAUCCGUUUCUACCUUUGGUUGAAAUGGGUUUCACUUGUGAAGCGCCAAAUGGCAUGAGGAGUUCGUCUGAUAUAUAUAGUUGAUUCUUCGGCCAGUUUCCUUCAUGCGAAUGAGCCUAUGUAUGGGCUAGCUUGGGAGGCCCGAUUCCCGGGUGGAUCCCGAAAUUUUCCCUAGGCUGGACCCUCGCGCCGCAAUUUGGCUCCGGGCUAAAAUUCCCUAGCAUUUGGGAGCCCGUCCGAUGAGGGAGCCCAACCCUAUCCCUCCGUUUUCCACAGGGUGAGCCCUCCCCACCUCAAGGGUCCGGACAUAUCUCCCCCAUGACGCUCGUGAGUGCCAUCGCAGCAUCGCCCCUGCGCCUCCCCGUCACCUCCCCAUCCUCCCCGUCGCUGCUCCUCCCCAUCCUCUUUGUCGCCUUCCCGUCCAGACUGCAUCGCCUCCCCAUCGCCCCUUGCCUCCGUCCAGGCACCACCACCCCUCCGCCUGUCGCUACUGCUCCGUCUCCUUGUUCAGGCACUGCCUCUCUGCCUCCAUCUCGUGACUCCCGGGCACCGAUCUGCGACGAUGUCCUGGGCACUGCAAUUGUAUCAUGUGAUUUUAUCAUGGAACUUAGGGUUUUUGUGUGCUCUCUCUGUGUAGGCUGAGCUGAAGGAGAGGCUGGCCAAGGUGUACGAGGUGAAGGACCCUAACACCAUCCUUGUCUUCAAGUUCCGCACCCACUUCGGAGGAGGCAAGUCCACUAACUUCGGCCUCAUCUACGACGACCUCGAGGCAAUUUAUAGGAAAAUAACAGAGUUCUUCGAUAUAAUUCCAUCACUGACUCAUAGAUUCUUUAAGCUCCCAAAUGUGAACCAUACACAUGUGAAGAUUGCAUCAGACCCUCGAUUUAUGCCUUUCUUCCAGAACUGCAUUGGGGCUAUUGAUGGCACUCAUGUCCCUAUCACCAUUACACAAGAAAGAGCCGCUCCCUAUAGAAAUAGGAAAGAAACCUUAUCACGGAAUGUGAUGUGUGCAUGUGACUUUGAUUUAAAUUUCACUUUCAUCUCAUGUGGUUGGGAAGGAUCUGCAUUGAGGCAAGGGUCCUACGGUUUACACGUGCAAAGGGUUUUCAUGUGCCUGUGGGGAAGUUCUACCUUGUAGAUGGUGGAUACACAAAUACAUCCUCAUUCAUUGCUCCAUACCGAGGAGUUAGGUAUCACCUUAGUGAGUUUAGAAGACAUGGAAAUCAGUAUGCAAAUUACAAGGAAUUGUUCAACCACAAUCAUGCGCAGCUUCACAAUCAUAUUGAAAGGGCCUUUGGCGUGCUAAAAAAGCAGUUUUCAAUCCUAAAAGUUAGGAUAUUUCAUCCAAUUAAGAAUUAAAUUAAAAUAUCAGCGACAGCUGCAGUAUUUCACAAUCUCAUUAGAGGGCAAAAUGGGGAUGAAGGGUGGCUGGAUCAUCAACCAAAUAAUAUCAACCCAUCUGAUUAUGUUGAGUUGCCACAGGGGGAUAAUAACUACCCAAAUGAACUGCAAUCAAAUGAUAGAAGCACCCUACGAGGCCAAAUUAUCCUUCAGAUGUGGGCUGCUCGUAAUAAUUAGGUGAAGCAUAAAUGUAAGCACUAGUAUGCAUGGAUUGUUUGUUCAUGUACUGUUUUUUUUACUUCAUUACUUAUUUUUGUAUUAUUUUCACAACAUUCUUUAUCUAAUCUUGUUUAUUCUUACAGCCAUGUCAACGGAAAGGGCUACAUGGAGCUAUGUAUGAGAAGGGGCUUGUGGAUAUUCUGAAAGAGUUUGUCAAUAUCGCAAUGUUUAAGGGACAGAAUGGGUGGACAACAAUGGGUGGACAACAAAAGGUUGGAGGAGUAUCACAAAUAAAUUUAAUAAUAUGUUUCCGAAGGCACAUUUCAUGAAGCAUCAAGUGCAAGAAAAGAAGAAAGAGCUAAAAAAACUAUAAGAUAAUAAAAGAAGCGAGGAAAAAUGGUGUUGGCUGGAACGACACUUUUGGAUGAUCAUUGCAGAAUCAAAAGGUUGGGAGAAGUUGAUUAAGGUCAGGUCUCAUAUACAGAGUAGAAUCUUGAGAGGAUAACCACAAAGUUGUCAAGUUCCGCAAGAAGUCAUUUCAUUUAUAUAACAGCUUGAAAUUAUUGUAUGAAGAUAAUGCUUUCAUCUUGCUCCUAUUUACAUUAAUGGUCACAACUUUAGUUAACUAUUCACUUGUUCACCCAUUCAAUUGUUUGUUUAAUAGGAAGUGUGGCCACAGGGGAUUUAAAUUUUACAUCAAUUGAGCCUCCACCCUAAAGAACUGAGCUGCGAGCUGAACCCACUCCCCAAAGAAGUGAGCUGCGAACUGAACCCACUCCCCAAAGAAAGCAAUCAUAGCACAACACCUAGCUUUGGAUAUAAGAGCAUGGCUUCUAUUGAUAGAAAUCCACUCAGUUUUAAUCUUGGUGGUGUAGAAAGUACAGAAGUUCAAUAUGCUCCAGCCAGUCGUAAUUUAGAGGACCAAGAUGUUACCGGUGGAAAGAAACGCAAACAAAGUUAGAUGGCAGCAAAACUUGGGGAUUACAUUGACUUUAGAAAGGAUCAGAUUGAAAAAACUCUAGAAAAGUUAGAAGAGAAGAAGAGAUGUGAAGAAAACUACUCAAUGGAGAAAUGUAUUGACAUUGUGGAUGCCAUGGAAGGGCUAUCGGACGAACAAAAAACUGAUGCAAAUGAAGUUGUCCAAAGUGAAACGAACAGAAAAAUAUUGGUCGGCACCAAAAACCCAAGUGUCCGGUUGAUUUGAUUGAAGAAAAAGAUUGCUCGGGUAUGUUCCCUUUCUCAGUUUUGUACCCUUGCUCAAGUGUCGGUUGAAUCCUCUAUUUGCAUAUAUAAAACAUAAAAUUUUAUUCCCUGCUGGUGUCACUGAUUUUACAUUUUUUUUGUGUUGCAGCUUUCUACCUCCAGUGCUGCUACAAAUGAAAACUAAGACGCCCUUGUGUCUGCCUUUCAGUGCUCAUAUAAGGUAUGUUUGAAGCAUUCUUGUUUCAAUUAUCAUUUCAGUAGGAUACAUGCCAUGUCUAACUGUCUUAGCAAUACAUAUCUUGUCACAUGUCUGUGCAAUACAUGUCUUAUCACAUCUCUUGUCUGCAACAUAUCUUGACAGAUAUCUACAAUAUAUCUUUACAGUAAUUUUAACCUUGUCAAUGCUAGUAUUACACCAUCCACCAUACUGUAAUGGUCAGGCUUUCCAGUAGUAAUAGCAAAAAAAGAGUAUUCAUGUGAAUAUCUAUGUGCAUAUGUGUAUAUUUAAUCAUUUGAUUUUUAUAUUAUGUACAAAGAUUUUGCUCAUUAUGUAGACCCCGGUAUUGUUCAGCUAUAUAUAUCUUUGAAUUAUCUGAUCAAUACGUUAUAUGCAAGAUUUUAACUAUAUACCUAAGUUUUCUGCAGAAUAAUUGAUGGAUCAAUAAUUUUCUGAUGUCUCGUUCAUCUAUUAUCAUCUAUAUGGUCUGAAGGCUGACGAUCUAUUUUGAUUAUAUGUGUUCCUUGUUUGCUAAGCAAAGAGCUAUUUUAUUAUGAUGUGCCAUGCUACCUUUAAAUUAUGUGACAUGAAUUUUUCAUAUUGGAAUUUGUGUUAUUUCGUUUAAAUCUAGCUAUUUGAUUAUCGGUCAGACACUAUGUCAAUUUGCAUCUCUUCAUUCAGAAAAGCAUAUCAGAGAAGUAAAUUUUAUUAGCCUUUAGAUCUAAAUCCAAAGGUUAAAAAAUCAGGUGCUAGACCCUUCAAAACAUCCUAUUUGCCUUCUCACAAAAAAUCAAGUGUUUUGUUAUCUUCGGACACCUAAGUGCCGUGAGCUCUAAAAUAUUUAGUUUUGACUAGAGAGGAGGAUUCUCCUUCCAAACAGCAACCCGGGAGAGGGGUGACUAGACAGAAGGAUCCUCCUUCCAAACAGCAACCAGGGAGAGGGGCUAGCUCUGCCCUGCGGUAGAGGGGAUUCCAAAAUCCUGAAAAAUCCCCGUGGUGUAAUUUACUCGGGGGCUAAUUAGCACUGAGCUGCUAAACCAGUUCUAAUUGUGUUUUAUAAGUUGGGGGAAAUGGAAUUUGAGCUCCAAAAAUUAUUGUAAAUAAUUUUCUAUUUAACAAACUUGAAAAAUAUUAUUAAUAUUGCCUUCUGCUCGCAUUAGAGAUCAAAUGAGCUAUCAUCAAUUUCGGGGUAUAUAGAUCGUUUUACUUUAAAUCAGAUAAUCUAUCAGAAAAAGUCAGGAUUGACAAACGGCCAGUUUGACAGCAGCAUCUCCAGCAAGCUUUAAAAAAAACGAGUCUCCAGACAUCUGUUUGAAACAGGGCCUAUAUGUCCCGCACAUACAUACACACGAUGACACGACAUGCCAUUUCCAUCUUGCUCUGUGCCACGCUUGCUUGCUCGCGGAGCUCCACCUGGGCGGCCAGCAAGGAUCUUCUUUAACAAGGCGUGCGGAGAGCAGGUGUCAAGAUCUUGGCGGGCGAAGCAGAGCAGCUGGCGGAUCAUGGCCCGUGCGAUCCUCAUCCUCCGCCGGUGGUCAAGCUCGACGGGACGUACCGUCACCUCUAGCAUUUCUGCUCGGAGUCCAGCAUUUAACAUGGCGUUAAGAUUGUUCGAAAAAAGAAUAUGGCGUCAAGAUGCAGGAGCGGAACCUGAUUUUCUUACAGGAAACGAUCAAGCGUUUUGAGCGCAAAGGUUUUCAAUCCCGUUGGUGAGUGAUGCGCAUCCGUGCAACUGCCGCUGUUCUUGUGAUGCGCAAUUUUAUUUGCGAUUCGUGUUAUGCAUCUAGUGCAAGUACUUUCGAGCAAGACUUCUCCUGGAUGUACACUGAGACAUAAUCUAAAAAGAUCAAAAAACGAAAAGAUGUUCCAAUAUGAACAGAUGCCAAGCGUAGAUGCCCUACUUUCCUACUGUUUUGCCAAUGCGUCACGCGUAUCGCAAGCACAGCAUCAUGGGCGGUGGAGAUAGCAGCAGCAGCAGCUCCUGCCCACCGUGAAAAUCGACGGGUUAUCCCUCCCUCCCUCCCUCCUGCAAAGCCCCAAGAGGGCCAAGAACCUCCAAAACAACAGCUAAAAUCAACCCCUCAAAACAAAAGGAAGGUCCGAGAAACCAGGACGUGUUAUGUCCAUGGCGAUGUGCAAGGCCUUCACUGCUCGCCAUGCGACCCAUUUGCAGCACGGCCACUUGGCGUCAAGCUCCCUGGCGGCGCCACGGCUGCCACUUCUCCCUUGCAGGCCGAGCCUCGCGGUCACGGUAGCCUCGCCACCGCGGCUCCUACCGGUAUGCCCCAGGGCGUCGACGACGUGUGUAUCAGACCUCUCCCCGACGCCGCCGUCGGAGCGCACCAUGACGGCCUGGGAACUUGCCAGCCUCUGGGCCGGCCUCGUCGUCGGCGUGCCGGCCUACUACCUCGCGGGCAGCCUCGUGGACCUCGGCAUGUCCGCGCUCCAGGGCGUCGCCACCGUGACCUUCGCCAACCUCGUCGUCGUCGUCACGCUCGUCCUCACGGCCGCCCCGGCGGUCACGCACGGGCUGCCGUUCCCGGUGCUCGCGCGCGCCGCCUUCGGCGUCCACGGCGCGCACGUCCCGGCCGUCAUCCGCGCCCUCGUCGGCUGCGGGUGGUUCGGCAUCGAGUCCUGGAUCGGCGGUCGCGCCAUCUUCCUCCUCCUGCCCUCCAAGCUCAAGUCGUACCCGCCGCUGCUCGCCCCGGUGCCCGGCAUCAGCGCGGCGCCGCUCGAGCUCGCGUGCCUCCUCGCCUUCUCGGCCGCGCAGAUCGCCGUCAUCAUGUGCGGCAUGGAGGGCAUCCGCAAGCUCGAGAAGUACGCGGCGCCGGUGCUCAUCGUGCUCACCUCCGCGCUGCUGGCCUGGGCCUACACGUCGGCCGGCGGUUUCGGGCGCUUCCUCACGCAGACGCCGAGGCUGACGAGCGGCGAGUUCUGGAAGGUCUUCUUCCCGUCGCUCACCGCGAACAUCAGCUUCUGGGCGACGGUGUCCAUCAACAUCCCGGACUUCGCGCGGUACGCCCGGAGCCAGGCGGACCAGGUGCUCGGCCAGGUUGGGCUGCCGGUGUUCAUGGGCUUGUACACCUUCGCCGGGCUCGCCAUCACCUCCGCCACCGAGACCAUCUUCGGCCAUGUCAUCUCCGACCCAAUCGAGCUCCUGGGGCGCAUCGGUGGGCCAGCAACGACGUUGCUUGCCAUCUUCGGAAUCACCCUGGCGAUCAUCACUACCAACAUUCCCGCCAACGUGGUCGCGCCGGCGAACGCGCUCGUCAGCAUGAGCCCGCGGAGGUUCACGUUCGCCAAGGGCGCGCUUGUCACCGCGUUGAUCAGCAUCGUCUUCCAGCCGUGGCGGUUGGUCAGCUCCAGCGAGAGCUUCGUCAACAUCUGGCUGCUCAGCAACUCGGCGCUCGCGGGCCCCAUCGGAGGGGUCCUCCUCACCGACCACUACAUAGUCCGGCGAACUUACUUGGACGUCGACGCGCUCUACUCGGAGGACAGCGGCAGCCCUUACUACUUCCAGGGUGGCUUCAACGUCGCGGCGAUGGUGGCAAUGGCGACCGGAGUGGCGCCCAUCGUGCCCGGAUUUCUGCACAAGGUUGGAGUGCUAACGAAUGUCUCCAAGGCAUUUGUCACGGCGUACAACAAUGCCUGGUUCGUCAGCUUCUUCAUCGCCGGCGCCGUCUACUGCCUGCUCUGCGGUCAGCGAGAGAUACAAGCAAAGCUCCAGUACAAUUGAUAUUGACGGUGGCGCUAUACCUUGUUCCAUAUCUAGCACAUACAAAAUUUAUACGGUCCAUUUAUGUUAACUUCUUUGCUAUUUGUUGGCAUUUUUGUUAAACAACCUAUAGCUGGGAUUUGUAAUAACAGAUGGUUGAGUGAACAACUUAUGCGGAAGCCGAAAUAAAGAUCAUCUCAAUAUCGAAAAAGAAAUACUCCGUGUUACUAGUGAACUAUUUUUUUUUAUCUCCCUGGUGUGCAUGCUGCAAAUUACAAACGAAGACAUUUUCAACAAAAAAAACUGUAAAUCACAACCUUUAGUCACACCUCUUACUGCCAACAUUAUAUUGUUCUCUGCAAAUUAAAAUUAGAAUUAGUAACUUGUAAAAGUUUGCAAUUUUUGAAUGGUUUUAGAAUGCCCUUGUAUGCUGAAGAGCAGAGCUUUUUACUUGUUUUGCACCAAGAUUAAUGUAGUUUGUCAUCCCCAACCAAGCAUCAGUUUGGUCAAAAAAUGUACUUCCCACUUCUUGCAUGCAAACAUGACAGAUUCACAUGACAUCAGUGGCUACCUCUGGAUGCAGUAUCUUAUCAUGCUUUGUGUUACAAGUUCAUCCUCAAUUGCAUUUACGAUUUUUUUUAUAUUUGCCAUGCUAUAAUGUUGAUGUAUGAAACAUGGGUCAAAAAGGAUCAGAAAUUACACAUAAAAUUCUUACUGAUUGAACAAGUUGGAGAUCAGUUAAUAUUUGCACUACAUAAUGUAGCUGUUUGGAGCAACUGUUAGUUGAGCAUUAUCAUCAUGACAAUACUCACCAGUCGCCAAACAGCUUGGAUUUCAGUCGGACAGCUAUCAUAAACCAAUCUAACCUUCAAGCAACAGGCCCUAGCUGGCAUAUCAACGUGCCCUAGUUUUAAUCAUCUUCCCCCUAGAUGCCUUCUUCUCCAUUUUCUCCCUUUUCUUUCGGGUCUUCUCAUCUUCAACUUCACCCUGUAAACAGGAGGUAUUACCUAUCUGUCAUAUCUCACAAUUCAAAUAAUGUGCUCAAGUUGAUGAUAAAUCUAUUUUUACCUCUGAACCACCACUGAAAAAUGUUCCUCUCAAAAGACCGAAAAUCUUGUAUCCAGCAAAAGCUGGAAUCUGCAAAUGAAUGGGUAUACAAACAUUAAGCAAACAAUAAGAAGUUAGCAAUCAUUGGUGAGCUCCCUUGAGACUUGGAACAGUGGAAGCAUCUGCAACUCCAGAGUCAUGAGUGUAUCUAACAUCCAGAACGUGCAACCACAACUUGAACUAGUAAUGUUUGCAAGAGGAUUGAAGCCUAAGGAAUUCUAUUGUGACACAAAAAAUACAGAAAUGAAUCGAUAUAUGAAUAUAACUACUUGAAAUGAGUAGCAAUUAGUGAUGGCCGUCUGCAUUGGUUAUUCACUCGACUUGUCAUAUUACUUUGCUUUGCAAUUUUAAGAAACAUGGAUAGAAAUACAGGCUAGACAUAUCAGAUAAUAAUAAUACAUAUGACCAAUGUUUUUAAUCAGACAGCUAAUGUUCAGAUAAAACGACAAUCAAAUUCUUUGCAGAAUAAAAAGCACACUGUGAAAUUGGGGUCCAAAAGGGCACUGAAGCAUUGAAUGGAAACACAAUUUUUAAACAAACAUAUGGUGUGUGUUGUCUUACCACUAAAUACGUCCACCAAAAUUUCUCAGAAAUGAUGGACAUCAGUUGCACAAAGACAGUGAUAUAGAUCACAUCAUACAGAUACCUGCAGGACAAAAUGUAAAAGAAUUGUCAUUGGUUUGAAGAUAACCAAAAUAUACCACUAAACUUCUCUGAAAAACAUACCACUACGAAAACAAGUUGUUGACUCCUCAACUCAUUUUCCCAUUGUUUCAUUUUUGUGGGGCACUGUUUUUGUAUUUUUUGUGUUAUUAAUGUAACUAGGAUCUAAAGACUAAUAUGUGAAUGGUUCAACUUUGAAAUGCUGAGAGCUAGGUAGGCAGGGACUUUAUAAUCCUCUGUACAUAUGACUCACUGAGAGAGAUAUUCAUAUGCAUUCCCAUAUCUAACAAAAAUAUCUGUUAUCAAGUGGCCUAAGCUAACAUUUACACUAUGUCAAGCAGUUACUUACUCGCAAACCCCACCAGUGCUCAAGUCGAAGCCACCAUCCAGUAAUUCUCCAUUAUCAGAGUAAACUGGCUUUGCCAUACUGGCAAGUUGCUUGUAUGGAAAAAAGUAUGCAGCAGAUGUUAACAUAAGACCAAUCCAAUGCUUCCAGGUGAAGGAUGAAUGCAUUAUCGCCAUCCUCACCACUAUGUAAAUAACCUGUAGAACGGGAAAAAAAAUCAUAUAUGAAACCAGAGUAGCUAAAACAUAUAAUUAGCUGGUGGCGAGGUCAAGACAAAAGCAACAGAGGGAAACAUCCACGAAGCAUUGCAAACAUUUUAUGUAUAACGAUGUUGAACCACAUAAAGAAUCAAUACCAACUAUUAUAACAAACGCCACAAUUAAAUGAGAGAAACAACCAAAUUAAUAACCAAGGUUAUAGGAAUUGAGUGUGGUUCAAAAACAUUAAAGAGAUACUGGAUACAGAUAGCUUUUCCCCCCUGACAUGAACUCUCAGCUGGUAAGCUCAUCAACAAUAUAUUCUGUCAUUAGUGCAUUGUAGCCUUGGGUGUAUCAGGAAGAAAGGAACAUGUCAUCGCUCCUUAGUGACCUCCCAACACCAAAAGGCGACUAAGGCACAGACGAGUGAUUCUACAGAACCAAACAAAAUUAAGCUAAAUCUCCACCGAAUUUUAUCCCCCAGAAGGCAAUUUUGUUCCCUUCACAGCACACUGGCAUCCCAGAUUCAGUUCUAGGCAGAGUGUUAUCCCUUCCGGCCUUCCAGGAAAGCGAAGAAAUAUCUAGCAGAAUGAGCACGUCAAUACUUCAAAUACUGUCAGCCAGUCCAACUUUUCCAGGUUUCACAAAAAAUACCACCGCACGAGCUGUCCGAAAAACAAAUUGGACGGCAACGAUCUACGGGGGGACGAGAAGAUUCCACGGAUCUGUCCCGCGCGAUUCAGGGGAGGGGAGGGAAGGGGAGGGGAGGGGAGAGGAUAUUGAAGGUGGGUGCUCACGUUGGAUAUGAGGAUGAUGCGCAGGAGCAAGUCCAAGCGCUUCUUGUUCUCGUCCUUCAUCUUCUUCGCCCCCUGCUUCGCCAUGGCUGCGCUGCUCGAGGUUCUCCUCCGGUCCUGCCCCUUCGGCUUGUGCUUGGAACUUGGGAUCCUCGUGUUUUUACCUGGCAAGAAGUCGAGUCCGUCCGCCACGCGAACUCAUUUCUAGGCGGACCCAGUCUUGGGCCGGGCCGCUUCCCCUUCUUCCCUCCUGAUUUGCUUUGGGCUGAACCGGAUUCUGAGGCCCAUUGAUCCGCUAGUGCCUGUAAGUCCGUAGCGCAUUAAGGCCACACCUGCUACGCAACCGUACGAUUCCACAACGGUCUAGCGCGCUCUACCAAAGGCACCAACCGACGGGGAGAACAAGCGAGCGAUCAAGGGGGAGAAAGCGAGCGAGAAAGAUGGCGCAGGUGUGGGCGGUGUCCCUGGCCGUGGCGUCGCUCGCCAUCGGCAUGCUCGGGGUGCUCGGCGUCUGGCUCUGCUACCUCUUCGACGCCGUCGCGCGGGGCCGCCCGCCCCGGACCCCGCCUCCCACGCCUCAGGCGGCGUCCGAGGAGGAAGAGGAGGAGUACGGCGGCAAGAACGGGCUCUCGGAGGCGGAGCUCAUGUGUCUCGGCGGGGUCGCCGUGCUGGAGUCCACGGACGGCGGGGAGGGGAAGGAGGAGGAGGACGAGGGGGAGGCGCUCUGCCCGAUCUGCCUCGACGCCAUGGAGCCCGGCCGCGCCGUGCGCGUGCUACCCGGCUGCAACCGCGUCUUCCACCAGGACUGCGUGGACCGGUGGCUCGCCAUCUCGCCGCGCUGCCCCGUCUGCAACGUCUGGGCUGCGCCGCCGCGGUCGCCCGCGUCCUCGCCGCCGGCGCCCAAGACCGGCUGGGAUCCUUGAGGUGGGGGCGGCGCGUCUUCUUCGGCGCCUGGCGGGUCAGUUCUUGGUUCUUGACGAGUUCUUGGUUGGGUUCUGAUCAUCGACCAAGAAGCCUUCUUGAUGAAAUCUCGUCGGUUUCGUACUUCUGGUGAGCGAUUCUUGACAAAUUCUUGGGGGGCUACUUGAUUUUGUGAAGGAUUCUGACGGGAUUGCAUGUACAUCGACUCAAUCCUCGAAUUCUUGCUCGAAAUCAGUAGGUUUUGAGGGUUUAAGUUCUUGUUCUUGUAACAGAUCAUCACAUUUAGACAGAGUUAGUCUUCCCGAUGAACGAGCUGAACAAUUGACCAUCCCAAUGUAUCAUUUUCGUUGUGGGAUUGCAUAUUCUGUCCUUUUUAUCUGUCAUUGGCAGAAGGAAUGCCUGUAACUGUGAAUUACUGCAACUUUUGAUGUGGUCACGAAAAACAGAGAUGGCUUUCAAAGAUUCAGCAUCUUGAUGUGGUAUGUGUAGGAUUGGUUUAGUGAAUCUUUGAUACUGUCAGAGUUUCGUACUUCUAUUGAAAGAUUGGUUCCUAUUGUGGUGCAACUUCAAGGUUCUUUUAGUGCUGGUCUACAGAAUCGGUAGACCUGAUUUGAUCCAGUUCUUUGAUAACUGAUGUUCUUUAAGUGUCAUUUACUAGUUUGAACUGAAUCUGUUUACGGGACUUGUCCAUUCCUAUCAGAUACCUAAAAACCUUUUCACUGAUCUUAAACAAGUAAUGUAUAAUCCGGUUCCAUUUUAAUUUCUUCUUGAAAUCUCCAGGGUUUUGCAGGUUUUAGAAUUUCCCUGUAACAUUUCUCUGCAUUUGGCCAUCUUGAUGAAGAGUAAAACCUGGUGUCAAAAGUAUUAUUUUAGCUGUUCUGCCUUUGAUCUUUGAUCUUUCAAUGGCUAAUGGAAUACCGGCAACUAGAACAUGCACUUUUUGAGGUGAAUUUUCUGCAGCUUGAUGUGGAUAAGAAACAGAAGCAGCUUUCAGAGAUUCUGACAUGUGUAAUACUGUGAUAGCUGGGUAGAGACACUGAGAAUGUCAGUUUCAAACUUCUGAUGACUUACAUGGUUAUUAAGUCCCUGACUAGUGUUACUAUCCAAGUUUAAAGCUUCGUUCCUGUUCUGCGCCAAGCUAAUAUUUUCAGAGUAGUAUACUAACUUUACUACCAGAGUUUGAUGCUCAAAGUUUCUCAGAAUCAGUUGAUUUUGCAGAUCCUUUAUCUGGCUCCAUGUUUUGUUGUUUCAGAGUGUUCCAUUGCUCAACACUGUCAAGUUAUAAAUUUCAGUCUAGUCAGUCAGUUUGCUUGCACCUUGCAGCUAGUAGGCUAUACUACUAACUUACUCUCUCCGUCCAAAAAUCCAAAAAUACUAUUCACUUUGGUUUGCGCUAAGUCAAAUUUGUCUAACUUCGACUAAAUUUAUAGGAAAUAUAUAAUAACGUCUAAGAUACCAAAUUGGUUUCAUUAGAUCCGCCAUGGAAUUUUUUUUUGAAACAAAGUCAUGGAAUAUAUUUGAUAGUGAAUUUAUUUGGUAUGUGCUGUUAUACUUUUUUAUAAGCUUAUUUUAAAGUUAGACAAAUUUGACUUAGUACAAACUCAAAAUUUAGUAAUUUGGGAUGAAGGGAGUACAAAGCAAACUAAAGCUCAGGACCACAUAUUGCCCUGACGCUGCUCCAAAUCAAGUCUAGCACAUCCGUCUGCGUUUUUGUAGCACUUUUGGUGAUCAAGUAUCAGCUGACAUGUCUGACGAUCUACCAACUUUUGAACGGUGAACGGCUGAACGCUGUUCUUUCAGAUCUACGUUACGCUGUUCUUUCAGAUCUACGUUUGCCUGUCGCUAAUGCUGCCAGACACACAGUCCCUGAAUGCCGGCCUGCUGGCUGCUGGCUGCUGGCUGCUGGCUCUGUGUAAAGUACCUGUAAUUGCCUUAUGGGAUCACAGAAUCACAGGACCCAAGUAAAAUUAAAUUAGAAGAAAAAUAUUUGUACAGCAGAGAGCAAGUAAGCGAGAGAGAAAAAAAUUGCAAAUCACUUUUGUUUCCUCAUUUAAUAUGAAUGAGCGAUAGGGUAUCAAAUUGAAUUUGGUAGAAGCAAGAAAAAAAACAACCUUCAUUUUCACUAGAAACUGGUGAAAGAACAAAAGAAUAUAGAAGUUCUAAAGGAUAUAUGUUUCUGAGCAUGGUUCGCAAGUAAAGUGAUCACAGUAUUUCUCAGUAUGGAAACACCCAUAUAUUUGAAGACAAGAAAGAUUUGUGAAGAAGUGUGGAUCAUCAAUUAACUAUCCACAUUCAAUACAACCAUGUUUUGCAUUCCCGUAACAAUUUUCUUACAGAAAUGGCCCAAAAGCUCAUCAGACAUAGUGUUGUUCCUUAUUAAAGUGAUCAGUAGCAAACAAUUUAGACUUCAUGAAUUUUGGAGGGGGCUGAAUACAGUAGCAAACUCCAAGAUGCAACCAUAUUAGCCGUUCCCUGUCAUGUCAAGUAGUUCAUCGAGACCUUUUAGUCUCUGCUUCCCUUCACUAAUCAAAAACCUGAUCUUUUGAUUAUCAUCACAAUGGCGAUAUUUCUCGAACUCGGCCCUUGUGGUCUUCCUCAACUCAUCUAGACAAACCAAAUUCAUGAAUAAUUAGUUGUGCCUUAAAAUAUAGCAGCACACACAGCAGAGUAAAAAAGCAAGGAGCCUAACCUCGGGCAUGUUCAGGAGCUCGUUGAGUAAUUCGCAGUGCCUGUCUAUAAAGCUUUAAGACACGUGUGCGCAGGAUGAAAGCCCGUAAAUCCAUGAAACGCGUCAUUGAAGAACAACUUAAUGCCAAGUAAUGAUCAGGCCAUGUGAAACCUCCCAGGAAACUGUAAUUUCAACAAAACCAGAUGCAUACAGUCAUAUAACAUGCAGACAUAUAACCAGAUGCAUACAGUCAAAACCAGGUGCUUGAAGUUAAUAUUAUGGGUGCGCUUGGUUCCGGAGGUCCCUCGCCUCGCUGGUGCAAGUAACGAGAGACUUCCUCACACAGACACCGAGACAUCCAAGCCAGGAAACCAAACUCACAUGGUCGCUGUGCAUCCUCGCUCAGCAAGGCACUACAGUGCCAAGCGAAGGAUCCAAGUGCGCCCUAUGUUUGACAUCUGUAUGGGAGUAUGGCACACAUUAACACAAGUAUAUCAUGCAUACUAAGCAAAGUUUUAAACUUCUCUAGUCAAGAUUCAACAACUACAGACUGGCAGAUUACUCAUCCAUGCCGCAAAAACUAUGCAUCGCCACACAUUACUCGCUAAGGAUAAAUAUUGCAAAACUAUGGAUAGGCUCAACAAAGUCUCUCAUCUUCUGUUUUCUCAUGAACAACAAAAAACAAGUGCUUCAAGAGCUUAUGUUCUUCAGGAACGAAGUGUGGUUGUAACUAUUUUUGUCUCUGGUCAUUCUCUUGAGCAGUCAAACUAUAAUUAAACAGGUAGAGAUGGGUAAUGAGUAGAACCCGAAUAUACAGUGGCUUAAAUCAAAACUCUACAGGUUUCCAUAUCAAACAUGUAGAGAUGGAUUGAGUGACAUGAAAGACAAAACUCUUCUGAGUUUCAAAAGCAAACAACAGAAUUAGUUUUCACCUCGGCAACGCAAGGGCAUUCUACCGGUUGUCUUAAUUUCGAUGCUCAAUGACCUGCCUCGGAUCUCACAGAUAAAACUUCCUCAGUAAUGCUGCAUGCAGAUAUACACGGUACAUGGGUGCAUCAUCUCACCUGAUGCAUUUCAACAAACACCUAAGGCUCACACGUACGAAUUCAGCUGUGCAUGGGGUUCAAUUGAACUCCCAAUUUUUUUUAGGACUGCACCCGUGAUCCACGGUGUCUAAUUUCCUAUCUAGAAAUCUCCAAAUUUAGCUACCAAAGCUAGCUCCAAAUCAAUAGGAAUUCAAAAACUAGAGCAAGCCGCAGUCACUAACCGACUUGCCUCCGCGCCGCCGCGGGGGCCGUAUGCCCUCUCCGCCUCCACCAGGUCCUUGCCGCGAGGUGCUGCCUGCCGCCGCUGCCUGCUUCUCUAGGCUGCGCUCCUCGCCUGGCCGGGCCGCAGAUCACCGCCACCAGAUUUGGGGGGCCGAAGUUCACUAGCUGGACUGCUGCUGGAGACUUGCUUGGAGAGAGAGACAAACGAACGAGCGAGGGCUGGGUUGAGAGAGUUAGGGCGUGGGCUGCUUCUUUGGGCUGAUUGCAAGGCAGCCCAUAUUUCUCUGAACAAAAGAAAACUUUUAGCCCAUAUGUACAGUUAUAAUCCUGCUAAUAAUUUUGAAAAAAAUUCCCUCUCUGUUUUUUUUCUGCGGCGGUGCUUCGACAUGUGUCUUUCGAUUUACCUUGUCUGCCGAAAUUUGCCUUCGGCACAAGCAGCAGUUGUGCCGAAGAGGACUGCUAUUGGAUUUGUAGUAUUGAAUUGCACUUUGGAGCAAACCAUGUGACCACGCGACCAUUGAUCCACGCUAUCUAGUGAAAAAGGGUAGUAUAGUACUAGAUUAUGCGCAGUGAUCCGCUAGGGUAGUAUAGCAGCAUUGCCGUUCAGUGUUGACCUACCGUGUGUAAACUUCCUAGCCUACAGAACGUAGGUUCGUUGCAGCAACCGUACGGGAUUAUAGUAAACUUCCUAGCCUACAAAACUGCAACGAGAACUUGGGAAACGACGCAGCAGUUUCAGCCCUUGUUUACUUCCCAAGUUGGGAGGUGCCAAAUUGGCAUUUUGCCAUAAAUGCGACACUGUAGCGUUUUGUUUGUAUUUGUGAAUUAUUGUCCAAAUAUUGACUAAUUAGGCUUAAAAGAUUCGUCUCGCAAAGUACAACAAAACUGUGCAAUUAGUUUUUGAUUUCGUCUACAUUUAGUACUCCAUGCAUGUACCGCAAGUUUGAUGUGAUGGGGAAUCUUCUUUUUGCAUAGUGUCAAAGUUGGGAGUUUGGAGGGAAGUAAACAAGGGCUCAAUCUCAAUGUCAACGCGAGCAACCCGCCAACCCGUACGCUCUCCGCUUGCGGACUCCAAGAUGUUCCUAGAUUCAGGAGCACAGUCUGCGGUCAUCGCCUUCGUCUCUCUCGAGGGACGAACGUACUAGUACUACGCAGAAGCAGAUACUUCGAUCCCCUUCCCCACACGCGUGUCUCUGCAGAAACCGACGCGACGUGUCCUGCUCCGCUUCAAGGAAGGACACGAUGAUCUACCGCUCCUCGUGCUGAAAAUCUCGCGAGUUCGAUCAACGCCGCAUCGUCGGCUUGUCAUAUCGAUCGAUCAGCGUCCAGGGAAACCACGAGCGUGAAACGGAAGCAACCGAGCACGAGCGGUUGCUGCAUGGUGCGUUUCGACGUCAAUGCCACGGUACAGAAAGGCGAAAGCAUAGCAGGACAUAAAUGCUGUGCCGCGAGCUCUGCCGGCAAGCAGAACGGUGGUUCGCGGGGUGAUUGAUGGAGGAGGGUCUGGCCUGAUGGUACUGUCCCGGAUUGAAAGCGGGCAGCAGGUUAGAGGUUCAGAGGUUCAGGGGCUACUAGACCAUGAUUGAAUGUCGUCAGAAGCUCCCAAUGAUUUGUUGGGGUCAGGAUGGGAUGCGUUUGCCAAACUUCAAUUCGUAGGUCUGGCCAAAUUUGCACUGCUUGUACGGAGUACAAGACUAGUCGAUCGAGACCGUAUUAUGUUUAUGUAGGGUGAAGCCAUGCAUACAGGAUUACAGAGAUGGUAAGUCGUGGAGUGUACUUUAUUUCCACACAGAAAGGCAUUUCUGGUGAAUCCCAAUUUUCUUGAUGCUUUAAACUCGCAACUACCUAAAUGUCGGAAUAAAGUUCAUGAUACUACAAAAAAAAAACUUCUGUCAGUUCUAGCUUUAACCGUUUGUAUGCUACUUGAAAUAAAGCAGAAACUGCACAUCAGCACACAACCGAAAGCAGUGGCAUACGCUAGUGUGCUUCGUUGUAAAAUCUCAAAACAGCAUAGGCUUAUGUAUCUGCUCAC